rnacentral:lncRNA from 1 species
UCUGGGCAAGGUACUGGUCGCUGCUAUUUGAAGAGGAAGGGAAAGAAUUUCUGAAGAAGAAUUGCCAACUACUAGAAGGAGUGAUGCUGCAUUUCAGUUCAAAGAGUGGUUGAAAUUUUAGAAGAAGAAUUCUUAAACUUUGAAGUGGUUUAGCUAUAUGCUGGGCAGCCUGUGUACUGCAUGUCUUGUUUGUUUGGCUAUAGACACUCACGUGUGAGUGCUCGAGGCCUGGAUAUUCCUUUAUUAAAAAAAUCUAUUGAAGCCGGGAUAUUUCUUUAUUAAAAAAAUCUAUAGUUGGUAGGAAUAAGAAUAUGGAAAGGAUAGUAAAUAAGGUCUGCAUGUCCCAGUAGUUGCAUAGCCACCGCCAGUUUCGGCGAGGAAAGAUUCUCCUGGCGUCCCUCCGUAUGCAACCGCAACACAAAAGAAACCAGAAGGAUCGGAGUUGCCUCUCGUCUUGUCAUCUUCCUGCUCGCCUCCUCCGCUGCCAAAAUCCUCUCGCCGCAGAUCCACGAAAUCAUCGAUCAGGUGCUUUGGUCGAUGGCGCUGUUCCCCAUCAAGCAGCUGGACGGCCCCAGCGGCUACCUGCGGUGGAAGGAGUCGGUGCUCCUCCGCCUCCACACCCUCGACGUCGCCCACGUGCUCUUCGAGGACCGCCCCGCCGGUGACGGCGGCGACGCCGCGGCGCAGGCGGCGGCCAAGAAGUGGGCGCGCGACGAAGCGGUGUGCCGCGGCCACGUCCUCGCCUCGCUCUCCGACCGCCUGCUCCCGGACUACGCCCGCUUCGCCGCGGCCGCGGACCUGUGGCGCGCGCUGGCGCGCACCAACGACGUGGAGACGCGCCACGCCUGGCGGGACAGGUUCGACGCGUUCGUGUUCGACGAGGGCCCCGGCGACGCCCUCCUGGAGCAGAUCGCGCACGCGGAGGCGCUCGGCGCCGCCGCGAAGCUCCCCGACGACUACGUGGCCGACGAGCUGUGCGGGAAGCUCCCGGAGGUUGUGGGCAACGCCGUCCUCGCGCGCUCCGGCCCCGACAACGACAUGGGCUUGGUCUGGGAUGUCGCCCGCCGUGUCGUGGCGUACGGCAUUGGGCCGGAGCGUCUUUGGAAGACGACGGCGAUGAGCGAAGACGAUCAGGAUGGCUUCUACAUUGACGGCCCAGAGCCGGAGCAGAACACAGGGCGCAGGAAACGCGGCGAGCCUGGACCCGUUGCAAGGAACUGCAGGCGCAAGGUUUGAUCACAUUCAUGUCAUGGAGAUGGGUUUGUCAGGGGUCAGUUUGGAUGUUCAGAGAAAGGUGCGGAUUGAUGGGAUUGAGGUGGUUAGAACGGAGAUCUCAUCUACAAUUCUAUAUAUCUUUCGGCAGUGUUAGGGUUUAGUUCAUAAUCUAUUAGAUUUGUCAUUACCACGGCAUUGAUGCAUGUUAAACAAUGAAAAUUAGAAGCUAUAUGCAUUUGCAUCAUUAAUUGCAUGAAAACCGUUUAUUGUGCAAAGGACGUACGUGCUUUUCUUAUGUUUGUGUCACGGGAAGAAUGCAUUGUGUGGCAUCCUCAGGCUAGAUCAUAUCGAUUCAUUUUUUUUAAGUUAUGGAACAAGUUCCGACAUUGAUCAUUCACAAGGGAAUGACUACAGCCAGAAGAGUUACAAGAGAGCUUUUAGACUCUAAACCUAAAAUAAGGGAUUUCAAAUCAAGAGAGAGCUCUAAAACCAAACAAAGAAAACUAGAAGGCUAAACUUCAGUCUUCUUUGUUCCUGCUUCAAUCUUGUAAAGUCUUCACGCAACACCAAUCCAUCACAUCUCUCGUCUGCUUAGAAAUUUGAUGCCCGAAUCAUUUGUUGUUUGCGAAGUCUCUUCAGGUAAACCUCUGCCUAGCACAUAGAUGUAAGGUGUCGAUGUCGCCUCCAAGAAGGAAGUGGCACCAGAUGGUGUCACCAAUAUCGACACCGGUGUAAUGCCAACUAGCAUUCCCUCGAACAGUUUCGCAUAGCACCCGACGUUGACACGGACAUGUAGGUAGGGUAGCGUAUUGUCAAAGCCUCCAAGAAGGAAUGCUAUGCAAGAAGCGGCGCCAUUGCCGGCUGGCGUGAGGCUAGACUAAGAUUUCUCCCGAGAGCCACAUCCGAAUGCCUGCGCUAGACGGGUGGACAACGAUGAGAUCGUCGCCCUAUAUAUCGCCGACUAGAUGAGUGGCGUGCCCACCAGGAGUGUUCAUGCCGGUGGUCCGCCUCUCGAGGGUCGAUGAGCCUCAGCAGCGUCUCCACCCGCGAGCCGUAGCUCCCGCUCCCCAUCUUGACGCCGUGCCUGCACCCUGGGCGAGGCCGGAUCCGGCCUAACCGGCCCAGGAUCCGCUGCCGCCUUCCCCAGGGUGGGAACUCCUUGCUGCGGGCCCGCCGCUGCCGCCGCCGCCGCCUAGCGGUCGCGUGGCUGCCCGGCACCACACCGUCGCAGCCCGGCGAGGGUGGGAGGGGGCAGCGCGAGGUCAGCACACCGAGGUCAGAGGGGGCGGCGGUGGGGCGAGUCAGAGCCGUCCAGCCGUGCGGGGUUGGGGAGGGGGCGGAAGGAGCCCCGUCGCCGCUAUCCUAGCGCCUGGCCGGACUUCACCGGCAGCGGCGAGGAGCCAGUGAGGGUGCGAGGGGCGGCGGCGGCGGAGGGGUUCGGUCCCGCCCGAGUCGCCCCUUUGGGAUGACAUGGGGGCAGGCGAAAGGUCCCGACCCUCAUAUCGAUUCAUAUAGCGAUCGAUCGAUGAUCAACUCAUUAAAACGAUGUGAGACUUCUGACACUGACCAUGGCAUCGUCGGGCCUGUUUGAAGAUUGAAACAGAACUAUAACUAGCCAUGGGUUCAAGUUUCUGCUGGUGAUGAGUUAUGGUUCAGUUUUGCACUUUAUUAUGCUGGAGCGUAUAGUGGCGCACCCAUGCUAUUAUUCUCUUGUUGAGUUGCAUUAUGAAGAGGUUUGCCGUAUCUUGUACUGCUAAAAAGCCUGCAAGAUUGGUGACGUCCAAACUAUACUUCAGUCUUCCUCUCAAUGUCGGCCCUACCUUCGCUUCCCGCAAUUUCCCUCUUCCGCAGACCUUGAGAUGUGAUGUGGAUCCACCCUGUUCAUCCGCGCGGUCCCUUCUCUCCACGAUACGGCAAUCCCACCUCCCUCAACUGAUGACAUAUGUGAUCCCAAUAAUCCUUGCUCUAGUACCUCCUAACACUGUCAGUAAUACCAUUGACGGUAAGUGGGUUUAUAGAAUUGAGAUGAAAUGAGAUGGGACGAUUGACAGGUACAAAGUUUGUCUUGUCACCAAAGGUUUUAAAUAAAAAUAUGAUAUUAACUAUGAGGACACAUUUAGUCCCGCCGUCAAGACUGCUAGCAUACUCUCAAAGAUCUUGGAGAUCUACAUUAUUUCUUAGCGAAAAGAAUGUUUUUUGAUAGACCUAGGACAUGGAUUCUAUAUGAACCAAUGGAUCGUGACAAGUCGUUACUACUAGCAAUGACUUCCUCUUUCAUUACUUCAUCCUUUCCAUUCAUUUACGGAGUUUGGAAGCGAGGACGAUCCAGGAUCGACUGCAUUAUUUCUUAGGAACAGAAGUAAAGAAGACAUGAGAAGGAGUUCUUCUUACACACGAAAAAUAUACUAUAGAUCUGCUAAAGCAUGUUGGUAUGCAAAACUGUAAACCGGUUGAUACACCCAUGUUGGCUAGGGAAGAACUAUUAGUUUAGGUGAGCAACAACAUGUAGACGUCUCGCUUCUCACCCCAGCCCCGCGCGUUGCCCCCAAGCGACUCGGGGCGAUUUUGCCUCGCCGCCUGGGCCCCUCCCCUAGGCCGCCGGCGGCGGCCAGCCAGGUGGCGGCGGCGGACUGCGGUUGGGCCGAAGUUGAUCCAAUUCGCCCGCCUCCUUCUCUCCUCUUUCGCUUUCCCCUCACCUUCACAAACCUUGACGCUGCUACUGUCUCUUGCCGCCCUCCGGUCGCCGCCGUGAUGGGACUGCUUGGCGUCCCUUCGCCGGAUCCGGGUCCCCCCGGGGUGGAUCUGGUUGGGUUGCCCCUCCUUCGGCUUUGUCGGCUGCCGGUCGUGGGCGCCGCCGCCGGUCUCCACCCGCCGCCGCGUGGGGCCUGCUGGGCGUCCCUUCGCUGGAUCUGGGUCCCCAGAGGGCAGAUCUGGUCGGGGUGCCCCUCCUUCGGCUUCGCUGCCUGCCGGUUGGGGGCACCGCCCCAUGUGCCAUCAGCACCUCGGUGCUGGGCCGGUCGCGCCCCACGCCAGUGUCCUCUCGCCACCUAGUCGGGGGCGCGGUGUGGUGCGCCGCCACCACCCUGGUUCUGCGUCCCCUGUCCCCUCGCCCCCUUUCGCCGGUUGGUGUGGAGGGGCAUGCCAAUAUGCAUCUCGGCUGCCAUGCCCUGGCCCUGUUGGGGGGCUUGGCUGGGGUGCCCUACGGCAUGGUGCCGUGGAGCGCUUUGGUGAUGCACGACCGUUGCUUUGGCUCUAUGGAGGGAACAGGAUGUAGGCGAAAGCCUUAGGCCCGCUUGCGGGCCAAUGACGGCGAUGCCCUCGGGCGCCGUUUACUUUCCUGAAGGUGUCAUUCCUUCCUCCUCUUCCCUCCUCUCUGGCGAGCUUUCCGGGUGAAAACCUUGGCCAUGUUGGUCGGACGAUGACGGCGUCAAUGGCGUCGCCCCCUCCCUUGAGGCGUCGUCUUGGAAGUUCUGCCGGAUGUCAUGGCCUGGUUGUUGCUGGGCUUCGGCCCGUUCGCCGGGUUCUGGCGGUGGUUGCUGGCUCUACUCGAGGAGCUUCUACUUCUGUGCCUAUCUUCGCCUAAUGUCAUCCACCUCGUCUGGGUUGCGCUGGUCGUCGUUUGGCGGAUGCUUUGCCGCCUCUCUCUUCUAUCGUGGUGGCUGGUGUUCACUUCGGUCCGCUGCCAUGGUUAUGUUGGUCGGGUGGAUGCUUUGCCACCAUGUUGUGUUGUACCGGCAGAUGCUCUGCUAUCGUGUUUCUGUUGUUCGGGUGGAUGCUUUGCCACCAUUGUUGUUUAGGAGACCUUUGCACCUCUAGCGAUGUUGGUAUCUUUUAGCAGGUUCAGUUGGGUAGUCGUGUCUAGAAUCGUCGAGUUGAGUGUGUUUCCUCCCCCGUUGUACUUGCCGCUCUCGUUGGAGUUGGCAUCGCCCGCCACUAGUUUGGUAGUGCUCUGUAACCGUCUUAAUAGCCUCUACGUAUUAAAAUUUGUACCGGAUGUAUUACUUUCCUCUUGAUGAAAUACAUGCUCAGACACGUUCUCAAAAAAAACUAUCAAUUUAUGAACGAGAGAAGUUAGGACCAGCAGAUGCUACACAAUACAGAGCAUCGUAGGAACGUUGCAAUAUCUGACCUUGACACGUCAAGAUAUCUCUUUUGCUGAGGUAUGUCAGUACCUUCAUAUGCCUACUACUAUUCAGACAACAGUAAAGCGUAGCUGAACAUUAGCUAGCCUGCUAAUGUUCAACAGUAUAGCAGACAAAAUCGACCACUCCGCGUGAAACAGUAUAGUAGACUUGAAAUUAUUAUUUGGCAUAUAGGCUAGCUAGCUGAACAUUAGCAAUCAAACAUUUACUUUUGAUUUGUAUGUUCAGCUUCAUAAGGCCUCUUUGAUGCCCUCAGUGCUCCACUAGGUCAGUCUCAGAAAGUAUCAUCGCACAUUUACCGAAAACUUGGUAAAUGUGCUGGAAGAGUGUCAUGGUGAUGACAAUCAUCUCUCAUUCUAUAUAACUUCCUCUCUUCUCUCCUCAUAAAUCACUCUACUAUGUCAGCAAAUUUGCUGAUGUGUUAUGUCAUUUGAUGCUCAUGAUAUUUCUAUGACACUUCUGAUUCCCUUCGUAUUGUCUUCUGCUUAAACUUGAACAUAUAUUUGAUGAGGAGCUGAUUUGGUACUGCAUGCUCAUGAAAAUAGAGGCCGAAUUUUUUUUGAAAAAAAAUCUAGCAAUAGAGGUUCGCAUGUGGAUAAACAGGCAGGUAAAAGUUUCAAUUCACACUGCUGUAGUCUAAUCUAGUCUACUAUACUGUUUCACGCGGAGCGAUUUUGUCUGCUUCGCUUGCACGGGAUCCCGCCGGACCGCCGGAUGGUCUAGGAAGAAGCUACUCCUGUCGUAGAAGUGGUGGGACGCCUCGUCCGCGAAGAAGAGGCCGAACGUCAGGAAGACGGCGUUGAGCCAAGGGCAGCCGGCGCCGCCGGUGCGCGGAGGAUGCACCGACGAGACACCGCCCGCGCGCGCCACGGCCUGCAUUGCUUCCGUGGUCUGCAGGUUCUGACGAGACGCGGGGCGGUCUGCUGUGAUGAGAGGCAUGGUGUUGAAAAGGUUUUUAUUUGACCUUGUCAGUCAAUGCAGCCAUUAUGCCUACCUAGUGGAUAGUUGUACCACCAGCACUAUACUUAGGGAAGUUAAAUUUUUCUAAACUCUCACAAGAGAGAAGGAUAAAUUUUGAUCAUCGCGGGAUGCAAUGCUAUGAUUGAUGGUUCUAGCAGGGCCAUUAACACACUUCCAAUGAGCACAUAAAUAAAUAUUGAGGAGGCAUUAUUGUAUUCCGAUUUAACACGUACACUACUAAGUUAUAGAGAUAUCCGGAAUAAUGGGAUUCAUGUGGAAACACAUGGAGAAAACAAUAAUGAGUUUCUCCUCUUCACCAAAGAUACUAGAUAUAGCAAACAGAAACUUGAAAAGGUGCCUUCUCUCCCGUCUGGAUUGUACUACAGAUACAUCAAACCUGUACCACAUGUUAUAUACAAAGUGAUUGUUCAGAAUGUGGAUGCAUUCAAAACUUGGCAUGAACGCCUUGGCCAUCCCGACAUUGGGAUGAUGAGAAAAAUUAUGAGCAAUUCAAGUGGAUAUUGUAUGAGCGAUAGAAAAUUCCUAGAAUCUUUAGGCGAUAGAAAAUUCUCAGAAUCUUUAGAUUUUGUGUGCACCUCAUGUAUAAAUAGUAAAUUAAUUUUUAGACUCACACAUCCUAAAAUAAAGCAUAAACCACUAAAGUUUCUUAAAUUCAUUCGAGGUGAUAUUUGUGGCUCCAUUCAAUCAUUGUCUGGACCAUUCAGAUACUUCAUGGUUCUAAUAGCCGCACCCACAAGAUGGUCUCAUGUGUAUUUAUUAUCGACACGGUACCAUACCUUUGCAAAAUUGAUUGCACAAGUCAUCAGACUUAGAGCAAGUCAACCUGAAUACCAGAUAAAAUCAAUUAGAUUGGACAACGGUGCAGAAUUUUCUUCCAAAACCUUCAGUGAUUAUUAUAUGAUCUUAGGAAUUAAAGUUCAACAUUCUGUAUCAUAUGUUCACACUCAUAAUGGUUUAGCUGAAUCUCUUAUCAAGAGAAUAAAGCUCAUUGCCAGAUCACUAUUGCAAAAUUGUAACCUACCAACCUCAUGUUGGGGUCAAACAGUCUUACGCACUGGUGACUUAAUACAAUUGCAUCCAACUGCAUACCAUAGAGCUUCCCGCUGCAAUUUGUUCGUGAUGAUCCUCCUAGUAUUUCCCAUUUGCUGAAAUUUGAUUGCGCGGUAUCGUACCGAUCUCACCACCAAAGCGUACAUCAAUGAACCCUCACAAGAAAAUGGGAUCCACGUGGGGUAUUUAUCUCCGUGGAUCAUUAAAUACCUGGAGCCCCUUACAGGAGAUUUACUCACAGCCCAGUGCAUUGAUUGUAUUUUCAAUGAAGAACAUUUCUGGGCAUUAGGGGGAGAAUUAAAAUAUCACACUGAAUGCCUGAAAAUAAAUUGGGAUGCCUUAGACACCCUAAAGGAGGAUCCUCGUACCAUAGAAUCUGAACUUCAAGUUCAAAGGAUCAUUAAUUUGCAUAUUGCUACAAAUAAUUUACCAGACUCAUCUACUGUGAGUAAAAAGUGUCACAGAAUCAUACAUUCCUGCAAGAAAUGUGCCGAAAAGAAUAGAGAUACCAAACAAUACUAUUCAACUCCCUUCCUCAAAAUAGAGUGGGAGAAGUAAAGCAAAUGCUCCCAAGCGCACGAGAAAACGGAGGAAAGAAUCCUCUAACAUAGUAAAUGAAACUCAACCUCAAGUUGAGAGACACCAAGUGGAUUUACUCAAUCCACCUCUCACAUCAACAGUGCACUCAAUUUUUAAUGAUGGGAUAUUGGAACGUCCCAACGCUGUCGUAUUGGGAAAUACCGAGCCAUCAACCGGGGUACAUGAAAUUUCCAUAAACUAUGUUAAUUCUGGAAAAUCAUUCGAUCGUAAGACAAGAAUUAUCGACAUAUACUUUGCCUUAUUGGUCGCAGAUACCAUCCAAAAUGAUUCAGAUCCAAAAUUCAUAGUAAAGUGCAAGAAGCACUUGUCAGACCCGGAACUACGGGACUGUGUACAUAACAUAGUUCAUACAGGAAUACGGGAUAGGACAUGUCCUAUACCUUAUCUAUGUUAUACUCUACUCGCAUGCGAAGUAGGACUAGCCGAUACAGAAGGAAGCUACUCGAGUUGUAGUACGGUUCCUAGGCUAGUGUCGGGCUAGGAUUCAUGUAACCCUGUCCUCCCGGAUAUAUAAGGGCGGGCAGGGACCCCUCAAAACAUAACAUCAACACCUAAGGCAAUACAAACCACCAUACAGGACGUAGGGUAUUACGCAUAUCGCGGCCUGAACCUAUCUAAACCUUGUGUUGCUUGCACCUUCGAGUUCCUAAUCUCGGCGUCACCCUACCUAAAACUUACCACCUCGGGUAUACCCCUCGGUGGGCAGGCGGUAAAACACCGAUAGCUGGCGCGCCAGGUAGGGGUGCGCAUCGAAGAUCCAUCGGCGAACUCGAUGGCAUCGUUCAAGUUCACCAGUGUUGUGCCCCCUCAGGGCAUGAUGUUCGUUUUCGGCUCGUGGGUUUGCAUCGCAGAAGGUGCGGGCAAUUUUCGUCGAUUCACCGUUGACAUGAAGCCAAAAACUCUUGCAGCGAGUUUUCAUAGCGACCUCGACGAGUUCAUCGAUAAUCUCGACGACUUGUCGAACCAUGGCUCCGCUACGAGGACCGAGGAGGUGUCUGUUUUCAAGGCAACUCCGCCCAGCGCUGCAACAACCUUGCUUGGGUUGGACUCGUUCUAAUCUGAGGACUUGCAUAGCCGAUCACGAUUCGGUCUACACAAUUCGGCCAAUGAACUUCAGAAGGCCACCAAUUCCGGGUCCCUCUCCGCAUUGGAAAAGGACUUGGACUAUUUACUCCGAAUUGGAAAGCCCAAAGCCACCGCACGUCGGGGGGCUGCGGGUUGCCUUGGUGACAAUGGUCUGAUGGUCACUUCAACUCCUGAAGGCCGUUUCGUACAUUGAAAGGGCAUGAAACUCUCCGAUCUACUCGAAGACGAAGAUCGACUCGUGGCGCACCUCGAGCCCUUGCCUUUUCAGGAGGACAGGCCAUUAGCCACCGUGGCAGAGGAGUCAACUGAGCUAGUCGAAGCGAGCUCCGAUGAGCUCAUAUCACGUCAAGUGCUGAUGGCGGAGGAGGGCGAGAAUGAUGGCAUCGCACCCAACGACGCACUUGAUGUGAUAUCCGAAGACGAGGCCACAGCCAACGCCAGCAACGAAAACGACGCAGAGCGUGAGGCACGGAGGGCUAGGAACAGAGCUCGCGCAGUCCGAUGAAGGAGGGUCAACGAGCGCGUGUGAUCUAUGCAUCGCGAGCUAGACGCCGAAUUCGCUGCCGUGAGCGAGCGGGGCUUCAGAACUCCUGUGGCCAACAUCGCCAGGGUAACUGCCAUACUCGAGCGCAGUAACGAUCCAAACCUGCGUCAAGCACUUCGCUACGCACAGAGGACAUGGAUUCAGCUCGAUCAUCAAAACCCGGCGUCCAUUAUCAGAGAAGAACACAUGGGCGAAAGCCGCAGCCAGGCUCACAGUCGAACGGCAGGCGGCCGUCCUCGAGCUCAACGAAACAAUAACGACGACAACGCUCAUGGGAGUCAGGCCACUGGCGGGAGGCAGUAGCCACCUCCAGGAGGCAACCCGCGAUAGCCCAAUCAUCGGAAUCCUCCAGAAGACCUGCGCCAGAGAAUUAAUGAAGAACGCGAUGUAUGAUCCAUAAUUGAUUCCAGAAACAGAGAGCGUGAAGUAGCCGAUCCAGAGGGUAUUGACUGCAGUGAUCGCUUUCCAGCGUUCACAGCAUGGGUCAGUAGUUACAAGUAUCCUUAGGGCUUCAAGCCGAUUGGGAUCACUAAAUAUGACGGCAAGCAAGCUUCUCAGCAAUGGCUACGUUGUUACUCCACCACCAUAGAAGUCGCAGGAGGCUCCAACAUCACUAAGGUCAUCUACUUCUCGAUGGCUUUGGACCCUGCGCCGCUCACGUGGUUGGAGAGCCUCAACAACAACUCGAUCGAAUCCUGGGAGCGGCUCAAGAAAAUCUUCAUCGACAACUUCCAGGGGGCAAUCACCCGCGUAGGUACUCGUCAUGACCUUGCUCAGUGCAAACAGGAACGCAACGAGCUCCUACGGUCAUACACACGCCGUUUCUUCGACGUGCGUGCCACCAUUGUGAAUAUCUCGAAGGAAGACAUCAUCGACUGUUUCUACAAUGGCAUCACCAACCCAGGCAUCUAUAGAGACUUUGGGCGGAACAGAUCGAAAACUGUUGCAGGACUUUGUGACAUGAUGCACGACUGGUCCGAACAGAAGGAAAAGAUGCGGGAGCGGUUCCCGAGGCACAAUGACAGCAACCUGAGGCGCUCAAAUGAUAAUCGUACCGAUAAGAGCCAGAGGGCGGGUCCAUCCCGAAAGCGCAAGCCAGACGACCUCGUCGCAGCUGUGGAUCAUCCUUCACGAGGCAGGAAGACAACAACGCAGGAGGAGUUCGAAAAGCUCCUGCAGAAGAAAUGCCCAUGGCAUCCAGGUGCCAAUCAUGCGGCAAUUGAUUGCUACCACCUCCGGAGAACAUUCAGCAAUCCCGGUGGCGACAAGAAGAACAAGCCAACGGGUAAAGAACCCGAAGAGGACGACCAAGGGGACAAAUCGCACAAUGCGAUGUUCCAAGAUGCGUCGAAAACCAUCAACGUUAUCUUCAGAGGAGAUGAAGAGAUCAGUUCCAGGAGGGAACAGAAACUGGUUCUCCGGGAGAUUAUGUCCGUUGAGCCGGCGGUACCACGACCAUUCGGUGGUCGGAGGUCCCCAUCUCAUUCUCACGCGACGAUCAGUGGACAAGCUUCUCGGAGCCCGGCAAAUUCCCCCUAGUCCUGGACUCAGUGGUGGCAGAGGUCAAGCUCACUAGAGUACUCAUCGAUGGCGGAAGUGGUCUCAACCUCUUAUUCGCCAGCACUCUGAGAAAGAUGGGCUUGGACUUAACGGGCAUGCUCGUCCCAAGCAAGUCUCCCUUCUACGGCAUUGUCCCAGGUAAUGCAGCGCAUCCACUUGGCAUGGUGGUCCUUCCAGUCACCUUCGGCAUGAGGAAGAACUACCGCACCGAGUUCAUCAAAUUUGAAGUUGCCAACUUUGAAUCUUCUUAUCAUGCCAUACUGGGCAGACCGGCACUGGCCAAAUUCAUGGCAGUAUCGCAUUAUAUUUAUUUACUUCUCAAGAUGCCAGGAUGAAGUAGGGUACUCACCCUCCGAGGCGACUUGAAGAAGUCAUAUGACUGCAACCAGGAGGCCAUCCAGUACGCUUCGACUACGCGUGUGCCAGAUGCUUCAGGAGAAGUACUCGCGACCGCGCAACAACUCUCCAAGCUGGGCUGGAAAUCCCUACGAUAAAGGCCAGCAAGUCGAACAUCUAGUCGACCGCCGACGUGGCCCUCAAGAUGAUCCAGCUCCAGGAGGGCGACUCAUCUAAGACUGCCGUCAUCGGUGUAGGCUUAGCUGAGAAAUAGGGACUCGCGCUCGUCAGUUUCCUUCGGGCUAACCGAGACAUAUUCACAUGGAAACCAACGAAUAUGCCAAGGGUGCUCAGGGAACUUAUCGAGCAUAGUCUAAAUGUACACGCAUAGGCUGUGCCCAAAAAGCAACGCCUUCGAAGGUUUGCUCACGACAAACGUGAGACAAUCAAACGGGAAAUAGCUAAACUCCUCGCGGCUGGCUUCAUUAAAGAAGUAAUCCAUCCAGAGUGGGUAGCUAAUCCCGUCCUUGUAAGGAAAAAGAACAAUGAAUGAAGAAUGUGCGUUGACUACACCGAUAUCAAUAAGCAUUGCCCAAAGGAUCACUUCGGGUUACCGCACAUUGAUCAAGUUGUCGACUCGAUGGCAGGUUGCGUACUCCUCUGCUUCCUUGACUGCUAUUCGGGGUACCACCAGAUUGCGCUGAAGGAGGAAGAUCAAAUAAAAACCGCGUUUAUCACCCGGUUCGGGACAUAUGCCUACAAAACUAUAUCUUUCGGGUUGAAAAAUGCAGGAGCAACCUAUCAACAUGCAAUCCAGAUGUCCUUUGCUGAUCAGCUGCAUCAGAAUGUUGAGGCCUACGUGGAUGAUGUGGUCAUCAAGAUCAGGAAUCCUGAUGACUUGAUUGCAGAUUUGGAAGAGACAUUCAGCAGCUUACGCAAGUUUUGAUGGAAGCUCAACCCAACAAAAUGCAAUUUCAGAGUACCAUCAGGGAAAUUGCUCGGGUUCAUCAUCAGCAACGAAGAAUUGAAGCCAAUCCUGUGAAGAUCAUGGCCAUCACUGAUAUGGAAGCUCCAACCACAAUCAAGGAUGUGCAGAAGCUAACAGGAUAUAUGGAAGCCCUGAACAGGUUCAUCUCCCGACUCGGGGAGAGAGAACUACCCUUCUUCAAACUCCUGAAAUGCCAAGAAAAGUUCCAGUGGAUGGAGGAGGCCGAGCAGGCCCUGCAAGAUCUGAAACAACACCUACAGUCACCUCCGGUCCUUACAGCACUACUGCCGGGAGAAGAUCUACUACUCUACAUUGCGGCGACAACUCACGUCGUCAACAGUGCCAUUGUAGUCGAGCGCAGCGAGGAGGGCCAUGCGUUUGGAGUGCAGAGGCCCGUGUACUUCGUCAGUGAGGUACUCUCCGAAUCUAGGGUAUGAUAUCUGGCAGUUCAGAAACUUUUAUAUGCAAUACUGAUCACAUCAAGAAAGCUGCGCCAUCACUUCGACGAGUACAAGAUCACUGUGAUUACGGAUUUUUCGUUGGCGGAUAUUCUACACAAUCAGGAUACCAUGGGGCGGAUAUCAAAGUGGGCAGUGGAAUUGGGGGUUUUGUCAAUCAAUUUUAAGCCACGCACUGCAAUCAAAUCUCAAGCUCUAGUCGAUUUUAUAGCCGAGUGGAGAGAGAACCAAAUUCCAACUCCAGUCGACAAGCCAGAGCACUGGACCAUGUAUUUCGACGGGUCUCUUAAGCUCGAUGGCGGCGGUGCUGGAGUCCUAUUUAUUUCUCCAAGAGGCGAACAACUGAAGUAUGUCCUCCAGAUCCUUUGGGAGGUAUCCAAUAAUGAAGCCGAGUAUGAAGCCUUGCUUCACGGGCUGCGUUUGGCGAUAUCACUAGGCUUCAAGCGACUACUUGUAUAUGGCGAUUCACUUCUGAUCGUUCAGCAAGUCAACAAAGAGUGGGACUGCAACAAGGAGACAAUGGACGCCUACGUACAAGAAGUGCGCAAGCUGGACAAUAAGUUUUUUGGCCUGGAGGUUCAUCACGUGAUACGGGAACACAAUGUUGGCACAGACAAACUAUCCAAGCUAGGAUCCACCCAUGCACAAGUUCCAGCGGGAGUUUACGUCCAGGAGCUGAAGCAGCCAUCCAUCAAGUCCUCACCUCAGAUAACCACUGAUACCGGCCUUCAAAAGCCCGAUCGGGAGGCUAUGAUGCUUGGAGAGGACUGGAGGGAAACUUAUAUCGACUUCAUCCGAGACCAAAGACUACUAGCGUGGAUGGACGCAAGAAGCGCAGCGGCAGCUCGUGUCAUGCGCAGAAGCAAAGGUUUUGUCCUAGUCGACAAUAAACUCUACUGGCGUGGCGCACGAUCAGGUGUACUCAUGAAAUGCGUCACGGGAGAAGACGGCUACGACAUACUGCAGGAGAUACAUGAGGGUGUAUGCGGCAACCAUGUAGCUUCAAGAACGCUAGUGGGGAAAGCAUACAGAGCUGGUUUCUAGUGGCCCACCGCAGUGUCCGAUGCUGAGGACCUCAUUUGGAGAUGCUAAAACUGUCAAUUCUUUGGCAAGCAAUCUUAUGUCCCAGCUCAUAAUCUUAUCACCAUGCCGCCAUUCUAACCGUUUGCUUGCUGGAGCCAUGAUAUGAUUGGGCUAUUUACAAUAGCACCAGGUGGUUUCACCCAUGUAUUGAUAGCAAUCAACAAGUUUACCAAGUAGAUCGAGUACAACCCAAUAGCCAAGCUCAUGCCAGACAGAGUCGUUGAUUUCAUCUGCGACAUCCUGCAUGCUUUGGCUUCCUGAACACCAUCAUCACGGACCUAGGAUCAAAUUUCAUGGCUAACUAGUUCUGGGAGUUUUGUGAAAAUGCGUGCAUCGAAGUCAAAUAUAUCUCUGUUGCACACCCAAGGGCCAAUGGUCAAGUUGAGAGGGCGAACGGCAUGAUAAUUGAGGGCCUCAAGAAAAGACUCUAUGAUAAAAAUAACAAGAAAGGAGGAAAGUGGAUACAUGAGUUGCCACAUGUCGUCUGGGGGCUCAGGACUCAGCCAUCCAAAGCCACAGGACAAACACCGUUAUUCCUUGUCUACGGCUCUGAACCAAUCCUACCGGCUGACAUCAUGUGGAAAUUCCCAAGGGUUGAAAUGUACGAUAAAGGCGAGGUGGAUGAAACACGGCAGCUAGAGCUUGACUCUGUCGAAGAGGCUCGCUGCACUACUCUUGUUCAGUCAGCACGAUACCUACAGGGGAUCCGAUGAUAUCACGUCCGCAACGUCAGAGAACGGUCGUUCAGUAUAGGCAAUUUGGUCCUACGCCGCAUCCAAGAUGAGUCCGGCUUACACAAGCUCAACUCAAGAUGGGAUGGACUGUUCAUCGUCAAGCAGAUUAUAAGACCGGGGUCUUAUCGACUACAAUACCCCGAGGGCCAAGACGUCCCAAAUUCUUGGAACGUUCAGAACCUACGCAAGUUUUACCCAUAAGAAGACGUGCAGGGAUAGCUGUUCUCCGAGCGCCUAGGCAGUUUUCUUCCAAUUCAAUUUGGAGGCUAUGUGCCACAGAAUCUGGAAUGUAAAUUUUUUGUUAAAAUACGGAGGCUGUAGCCACGUUCAUAUUUUAUAUGAAUCGACUUCUUGCCAUGAGCAUAUCAGUCGUUGCGAUGGUGAUCGCUUUCUUCCUAACAGGUUGGAUCCGCUCGAUCGGAUUUUAUCUAACUUGUUGGACGGACUCACAUGAGGAGCUAUAUCGACUACUUCCAGAGUCGCUGCACUCGAGGUAGUUUUGACUUCUUGCCAUGAGCAUGACAGUCAUGCGAUGAUGAUCGUAUUUUUUCCUAACAGGGUAGAUCUGCUCGAUCGGAUUCUAUCUAACUUGUUGGACGGGCUCACAUGAGGAGCUAUUUCGACUACUCCCAGGGUCGCUGCACCCGGGGUAGUGUUUACUACUUAGCCUACAAACAUGGAUGGCAAUCCAGCAAUCGUAAGGCAAUGAUGAGUAUAGACAUCCAUGACAGAUAUAUUACAAGGAGAAGAGUACUUGUUUUUACAAUAUCUCAAUCCUGUAUUACACUCUUUACUAUUUUUUCAGCUACAGGACGGGCCUCUAGGAGGUACUGGCUGAACUGCUCUUCAGAGCAGUCUGCAGCCGCACCCUGUGCGAAUACCUCCAGUCGAGCUGAGGCCAAAAGGACUUCACAAAACUUAGGGCGUGGCUGACACAUGUGGUGGGUGCUUCGGCGAUGAAACUGAGGACUUUCUGCGGAGCUCCGAGGAGUCGCUCCAGCAGGGAUCGCCCAUCUGCUUCGCCAUCUUCUUGCAAAUCCACCAUGUCCACAAGCUGUUGGACGGCCCCCCUUAGGUCCUCCAGCUCCUUCUGGCGCUGCUCCUUUUCUUCACCCAGCAUCUUGAUCUGUUGAAGGCAGUUGACGAAUUGUUGUUCAGUAUCGGCGAUUAUCUUCUGCAGCCUCUCGAUGUCAUCUUUACGACGAUACAGCAUAUUCUUCACAUCAGUAAGCAACUCUUCUUUAUAUGUUAAGAGUUUCGUAAGCUCUGCGGUGAAGACAGUUUUCAGAACUCAAGACAAACUGCUAAGAGAAAGUACUCGAGUUAGGAAAGGACUUGCCUUGGUGCGCUUUUUUUUUCUCCUUAAGCUGUCCCUGCAGAGGAUUUUCAGUUAGCGGUUACAGAACAACAGAACUUACUCCAAAGUAGUCGAACAGUUACCAGCUUUGGAAGAUUUUGUGCAAAAACAACUCCGGGACGUAGGGAACUGCGUUCACGUCCAGCAGCACUCGCUUGACCCGGAUGAGCGCGGCAUCGUUAGUCAGCUCCUCUGUGCACAUCCAAGACGGAUCUUCAGCGCCUAUGUACUCGAAGCCUAGCGUAUGUCGCUGUUGGAUUGGCUGGAUGCAGCGUUUGAAGAAUGAAAAUAUUACGGAUGCGUCGGUCACUCCUAUUUCUUUAUGGGCUGCUAUGAUGGCUAGCAACUCGUCGACCUGAUCCAUGUCCCCUUUGGAGAGUUCAGUGUUCCACUCCGGCCUCACGACAGGGGGUUUACCAGAUCUUUCAGGUAGUUGGAGGAUAUGGUUUCCGAUGUAGAACCAAUGGCUUUUCCAUCCAGGAAUAUUGGAGCGGAAUUUGUAGGAAAGUUAUCUGCCGCCGGCUUGUUGCCUAAGCUGGAUGCGGGCGCACCUACAGUGGAUGGAUUUUUGGAGGUGGGUUGCGGCUUUACCCGGAAAAGAUAGCGGAAAAGAUCCCAAUAGGGUUCAAUUCCAAGAAAAGCUUCGCAAAAAUGGAUGAAGAUAGCAAUAUGGCAGAUCGAGUUUAGGUUGAGGUGCUGGAGCUCAAGCCCGUAGAAAUAAAGAAGGCCACGGAAGAACGAACAAGUGGGGAGAGCCAAACCCCGUUCAGAGAAAUGGUAAAAUGAGACAAUUUCGUCCACAUUUUCCAUGGGGGAAGUUGGAGAAAAGAAGGGCGCCAGUUGACAAGAUUUUUCUCCUGAAGCAAACCCUCAGAAACAAGAUUCAGGAGUUCGUUAUUGGAGCACUUACUGUAAGUCCACUCCCUAGAAGGCGGCAGCGAAUCCUUCCCUUUCUCAUCCUUCUCGUUGGAUCUCUUGGGCGCCAUUUCUAGAUCUAUUUGCCACGAGUUGCUCGGGGGCUGCAGAGAAGGGGUGGAGAGAUUUGGCUAGUUUGGGGCUUGUCAAAGAGGGUGAAGACGGAGCACGGAUCUGGUUGGGGAUUCGGAAAUUUCUUGGUGGAUUGAAGAUUGAAAGCACGUGUCUUUACUUUCGGUUACCACGGGGUUAAAUAACUAGCAGUUGAAGUUGAAGAGUCGUCAUAGGGAAUAUUCGGAAGAUGAGGGGUCAUUUGGUGGAUUUUUUAGAUAAAUUAUUCGAUUAAUCAUUUUUUCAGGGUUAAUUGUCCCGGAAAAAGGGGUUUUUCGAAUUCCAAAUCUAACUUCCAUCAUCUGUACCAUCACACCAGUUAUUUAUCAUGGAAAUAUUUUUUCAUUGCAUGCCACGACCUUUGGAUCCUUAUUUCCAAACCUGAGAGAUUUGGACUAUGGCUCGGGGGCUACGGGAUACGUGGCAUCGACUACCUAUUUUUUGAGUUUGUUCGAAAAGUAAGUAAGGAAGAUUCAAGACUAAUGUGACCCUCAUCCUGAUUCUUCGAUUCAACCUAAGGCUCGGGGGCUACUCCAUAUGAAGUGCGAUUUUUCAUCGCACACCAUACCAAAAAGUAAUUCGGGGCAUGAGCACCUCAUAGCUUCGAUGCAGCCAAGAAAGUACUUGACGAAGAACUUCAAGACGGAGCUUCGAAAGAAGCCGAAAACUACUUCGGAAGUACUCGAGGAGCCUGUAAUACUCAGCUACGAAGAGCUCGGAGGCUUGUCAGACCCGGGAUUACGAGACUGUGUACAUAACGUAGUUCAUACCGGAAUGCGGGAUAGGACAUGUCCUAUACCCUAUCUAUGUUGUACUCUACUCGCAUGCGAAGUAGGACUAGCUGGUAUAGAAGGAAGCCUGUCCUCCCAGAUAUAUAAGGGCGGGCAGGGACCCCCUCAAAACAUAACAUCAACAUCCAAGGCAAUACAAACCACCAUACAGGACGUAGGGUAUUACGCACAUCGCGGCCCGAACCUUUCUAAACCUUGUGUUGCUUGCACCUUCGAGUUCCUGAUCUCGGCAUCACCCUACCUAAAACUUACCACCUCGGUUAUACCUCCCGGUGGGCAGACGGUAAAACACCGACUGCGCUCGAACUGAACAAAUGGAAGGAAGCAAUUGAAGCACAGCCUCCCGCAAUAAAAGAGAUAUAAGACGAGGUUUGUAGCACAAGGGUUCAUGCAAAGACCCAGCAUUGAUUUAAAUGAAACAUAUUCUCCAGUCAUGAGUGGAAUUACAUUCCAAUAUUGGAUAUCACUAGCAAUUCAAAAGCGUCUAUCUAUGCAGUUGAUGGAUGUCGUGACAGCAUAUUUAUAUGGAUCACUAGAUUCGGACAUGUAUAUGAAGGUACCCGAUGGGAUCCCUAUACCGAAUGAAAGCGCAAAUCGCAAUAUGUAUUGUGUAAAGCUCAAAAGAUCACUCCAUGGUCUUAAACAGUCGCGAAGAAUAUCGUGCAACCGGCUGAGUGAGUACCGUCUGUAGAAGGGUUACUCCAAUAAUGAUGAUUGUCCAUGCGUCUUCAUCAAAAGAUCCUCCACAGGAUUUUGCAUUAUAUCAGUGUAUGUAGAUGAUUUGAAUAUCAUUGGCAACACACAAGAUAUAGAUGAAGCCCGAAAUCAUGUUAAGAUGGAGUUUGAGAUGAAGGAUUUGGGUAAAACCAAAUUUUACUUAGGUUUGCAAAUCAAGCACCUUCACUCAGGAAUUUUAGUGCACCAAUCUGUUUAUGUCCAGAAAUUAUUGGAGAAAUUCAAUAUGGACAAAGUAUAUCUAAAUAAGACCUCCAUGGUUGUUCGAUCUCUCGAUAAAGAAAAGGAUAUUUUCUGACCAUGGGAGGAAGAAGAAGCGAUAUUAGGACCGGAAUAUCCUAUCUCAGUCUCAUACCAGGCCUGACAUUGUAUUUGCAGUGAAUCCGUUGGCAAGAUAUAGUGUUGCCCCAACUAAGAGUCAUUGGACCGUAGGAAAAACAAAUCCUUAGGUACCCGAAUGGCACUAAGGAUCUUGGCUUAUUCUUUCAGAAAACUGAUAAUCCUAGCUUGGUUGGAUACACUGAUGCUGGCUAUAUGUCUGAUCCCCACAAUGCCAGAUUAUAGACAAGUUUUGUAUUCCUUUAUUGAGGAACCGCCAUAUCAUGAAAGUCAUCUAAACAAACAUUAGUGGCUACCUCCACAAAUCAUCUAAAAUCAUCGUACUACUUGAGGCGUCACGUGAAUGCAUGUGGCUCCGCAGAAUGAUAAACCACAUUGAGCAAUCAUGUGGUAUCAGUUUCUCAGAAUCACCUACCAUUAUAUAUGAAGAAAAUGCUGCUUGUACUACACAGAUGCAAACAGGCUACAUCAAGAGCAAUAUCACCAAAUAUAUUGCUCCUAAGUUGUUUUAUCCACAUGAGCUUAAGAAAAAUGGAGAAAUAAACAUCUUACAGAUAAAGUCUUGUGAUAAUCUGGCAGAUCUCUUCACCAAAUUCCUACCUACUUCCUCGUUCGAGAGAUGUGUUAAGGGAAUUGGUAUGAGACGGCUCAGAGACUUGCAAGCUUCGGAGGGAGAUUCUCUGAAUGAUAGACCUUGUUAGACGCUUCAUAUUGUAUUCUUUUCUUUUAUGAGUUUUAUCAUCAGAUUUUCUCAUACAAAGUUUUUAAUGAGACAAUAAUUGAUGCAAGCAUAUGGCUUAUCUCAUGUUUUUCCCUAUAGGGGUUUUUCUAGAGAUAAAAUAAGGUAUGGAUUACUACUUAAACCUUUUAGGUUCAGGUUUAUGAUAGAGUAAUCGCCAGACAAAUUAUUCCUAUUUUUUCCAUAGGGUUUUUCAAAGGAAUUAACGAACAUGUUGAUCUCAAGAAGAACUCGAUCAAAAGGGGAGUAUUACAAAAGGUUUUUAUUUGACCUUAUCAAUGCAGCCGUCAUGGGUUUAAGGCCAUGGUAAAAACCAUGGUUAAAGCUAUGAAUAACCUUAUUGCAAGACCAUGAAUCAACCUUAUUGCAAGGACAUUAAUUAGCUCAUUAGCCUAGUUGCUGCCUUUAGAAUAAGAAUUGAUGUAUUACACUAAUGCCUAAAAUUAACUAGGUUUUUAAUUUCCCUAUAUAUAAGAGACCUUAAGAUCAAUAAGAAUAUGCUAAUUCACUAUUUACAUCUCUUUAGAUCAAUAAGAAUAUGCUAAUUCACUAUUUACAUCUUCCAUUGAAAGCUCCCUCUGUCUCUACAUUUUAGAUUUUUAACCCCUGGCACGCUAAGCUGGACGAGAUUUUGAGGAGGCGGAGAGGAGAACCCGGCUCGACAUGCGGAGGUACCUCUCGCUAUCAUAGGCUGCGUCGUCUCCAUAGAAGCUGUCCGCUACUUCAACCCCCUCGACAGCUGCCAUCCAGUGGUGGAAGUGGAGCAGCAAGGACCUGCAAGAGCACAAUCAGAAUCACCUAGCGUCACUCGGUCGAUCAAGUAGGCAGGGUUGGGUAAGGUAGAGAAAUCAUGAGAAGAAUCUGUAAUACUAGCCUGCUCCAUUUAUCUACUUUUGUAUGCACACAACCUCUACUCUUCUAUAGAUGUAUCCACCAACGAGAAUUUGGUGAUUGGUUAUCAAGUAAUUCUAUAAACUCAGUAAAACAGUCAACAUGAACACGGCUUCUUGUAUUUGUUGCAACGAAUGGAUUCUCAGUCAUCAGGUAAACUCUCCAUCCACUGGCAUUACAUGGCUUAUUACAUGACGGCUUAUACAAAAUUAAAAAGAGAAGAAAAUUUUACAGCAGGCACACCACUUCUUCCGCGAUCACAAAACGUGGCGCAUGAAGCUUGCCAUUGCAUAAAACUGCCACCUCACUGUGUUCAUCCGAGAAAUACAGCGUUGCAAAAGGCAGCCGUUGCAGAUCAUGACAGCCCUCGUUCCACUGUCCACUUAGAAGUGGCUCUCUCAAACUUCUUUACCUUAUAAGCACCAAAAGGAUUUGGUUGCUAGGUUUUGUCAGGUCACACGAAAGGUCAGGCACUGCACUGUACUAGCAUGGCCACCAAUCGCUGACAUUGUGAGGUUAGUCAGAUACCAUCCAGUCCUGCUGAUUACAUUGUUAUUUUCCAUUCAGUAGACAGGACUGCGAUCUCGUUUUCCUGUCAAUCUUCGGAUCCUUGGAGAUGGUGAUGACACUUUACCAUAGCCACUAGAUCUCAUCUCUGUCAGGCAAAUUAAGAAAUAGGGCAAAAAAGACAAAAGGCAUCAUUGUAUGCAAUAAGCAAAAUACAUCAUUCUUCAGCGAUUGUAGAUUAGCGAAACUUUUUAUUUACCUCUCUCUCUUUUAAGUUCCUGGUCUAACUCUUCCUUCCACUUCUUUUGUAUUUCCGAAAAGCUAAGGCUGUAAAAAAUAGUAUUCCAACUGUUAGGUACCAUUGGAAACAUCAUGAUGAAUGAGUUAACUAAGUAACAGAUUGACUAAAUUCAACAAAUGAUAGCUCAAGAUCAUGUUGUUUAUUGGGAGUUGAAGAGGGAGGACGAUCAAAAUACUCUAACUAAAUUAGUCCUAGGGAGAAGCAUUUUUGCAAUUAAAUUUAACUGCUGUGCUACAUCAAUAUUUUCUGCAGAAAUAUGGGAUGCCACGGUAGUUACUAUUUUUUUCUCGAACACAGUACUUACUAUUCCUUAUAUAUAUCUCACACAAUGCAAAUAUGCUGGCUUAAUCAUAGGACUAAUCACUCCCUAAUUAUAUUGAAUGGCAGGAGUAAGUAUGCAAGAGAAUUUAAUAUUUGCACUGGCACACAAACCUUGGAUUGUCUUGAGUAGCAUCAUGGACCUUAUCCUCAAGUUUAUUGAGUCGAGGAGAAGCUAUUUCUCUCAAGACACGACUGUUCUCCACACUGCUUCUUGAGGAGCGCCUAGUGCAACUCUUUGGACUGACAUUAUUCAGAUUAACACAAAUUGGCUCUAUUGAUGCACCUCCCACCAUCUUAAUUGCUCGAGGGGGUAACAUGGGAUCGGUCAUGUUGCUUGCUCGGCAGACAUCACUAAAUCCUUGAGAAAUUCCAGCGUUCACUGUGUUGUAGAAUUCAUAUAAAGGUGUCUGUAGUUUCUUUAGAUCCAUGGCCUGUCAAGAUCCAAAACAAUUUUUUUCAAUUGAAUUUCUGUUUAUUAGAAAUAAAUGGGCUGAAUUUGCAACGUCUCAAACAUAACAAGCACCUUCUCAUCCAGAAAUUCCUUUAUUUUUGAUUCUGUAAAUUCAUCAUCCUCUUCACAGCUUCCUUCACAAGGGAAGGUAAAAUCAUUUUGAGACAUCUGACUUUCUGCAAGUUUGGCUAAUCCAGCAAACUCCCUUGAUUGACUAACUUGUUCUGGGCUUAUGUCAAGUUUUCUUUCCCAUUCAUCAGAUGGUUCAAACAUAGGAUUGAAGCUCUGGAAUUGACAGAAACGUCACAUAACUGUAAGAACAAUACUAAGGUAAUUCAAAAUACAAAAUUCUGGGUGUGUAUAAGCUAAAUUUAAUGGUGAAAGUAGAUAAAAGUGAAGCCUUGGACGAAAUUUUUAGAAUAGCAAGAGUAAAGCGCAAAUUCUCUUACUGAUCCCAUUGGGAUGUGACACAUGUCAUCAUCAUUGCAGUGCAGAUCCCAUAAUGGUCUGGGUCUGGUGUCUGAUGACUUGUAAGAAUUCAAGUUGCGUAGCUUGCCUGGACGACUCAAGUCCCUAUUUAGAAGUCAAAGAACUUGCUCAAAACAAAACUGAAAGCAGACAGUUUACCAGGUUCAAGAACAAAUUUACACCAGAGGUCACUUACGAGUCAUCAGUUGGAAUUACAUAUGUAGUAGGCUCAUUGCUGGUGGUUUCCUGUCAGUAUUUAUUUGUUUAUAUUGCCAUGUUAGAUCAAAUAAGAGAGAAGAAGGGCGAAUCAAAUUAGUUCUGACAAUCAAACCUUGGGUGCAGCAUGAUUAAGCUGACAAAAAUCCUCCAUACCUCCUGUAACAAAUGGGUGCUGCAAAAACAUUUUUAAAGUUUUACUCUCCUCAAAGUAUAAUAUGGUAUAAUUACAGCUACUGAAAUCUCAUGCAAGAAAUCUAAUGUACAAAUACCUGCAAUAAGUCUGAUGCAACCGAUCUCAUUUCUGGUUCCCUGAAAUAAGAAACAAGCUUGUCAAGGCGCUUGAAACUGGAGUCAUUUACUAGUUAUUAUUUGCAAGUGUGUGAAAAGUGUACUGAAUUGUCUGGGUGAUAAAUUUAAAGAAAAAUUCUUGAAGAUCCAUGUACCAAUAGAUGUUGAUUGGACAACAAAUAAUGUGUUUGUUCUCAUUCUAGAACUUAUUUUGUCCUCCGUCCAUCAUUCCUAUUUUGUGUUUAUACAUGUGUAUACUUACUAAAAAAUAGCGUAAGGUCAUCACAUGCUUCAUUGAAUUUGUACCCAUCUUUAAUCUUAGCGACCAAUGAACAAAAAUAAUUGAGUCUUGUGAAAUGUAGGCUUGGCAAAUGAGGUAGAGACACUUUAGAAAGAUGGAAACAUGUCAUUGCUCGAAAUCCUAUUACAUCAAGUGAAAAAGAACACCUUCCGCGUCUAACACUUCAAAGUAUGUAACAAACUAAAUAAUUGCAACACACAGAUUUUAGAAGGUAUUUGCAUGUACAUCAAACACAUGCUUGUACACAGUUUUUUUCUUUAAAAAGACAUGUUUGUGCAGAACCCCACAAUCUGAACUCUGAAGAGGGGACAUCACAAAGAGCAAUCCAAUGUGCUAAUAAAGUUGUGCCAUAUUCCAUAGUCAGAUAAUUGCUACCUUUGGCAAACUACAAUACGCAACAUUAAUCAUUUUUAGUUUGAUGUAAAACAAACAUGCCAACAAUCUACUAAUGUUCUUUUCAGAUGAUCAUUCUAGAGACUGGAAGUGACGUUUUGUUAACAUUGUGCAAAUGAAAGUCUAGUAUUCUGCAGCUUCUGUUUAAAAGUUAGUUUUGUGAUAGUGUAGAGUUUUACAAAGGUGUUAUAGCAUAAUUUCAAUCGGUAAUCCAAUUUGGAAACUUUUGUCUGCUUGGACACAAAACCCAGGUAUUGAGUGUUAUCAUGGUAUUUCUAUCUUUAUCUAUAAUUGCAAACAUGACUAAUAGUACUCAUGUCCAGUUAACAGAUAACAUCAAUAACUUAUAGAAUUAACACUGAAACAAUAGGCUCCUUAUGUUUCUUUAAAAGAUUGUAUAAGUUGGCGAAAGAAAUUUCCUGAGUAUAGCAAGUUUUUCAUUAGACUGCAUGUCAAGGCUAAUUCAAUUUUAUAUUUAUUAUCAGCCAUGCAGAAAUAUUGUCAUUUAUCAAGGGGUAUAAAGCACCAAGAUGUACUUUUGUAAGCAUUUUAACAGAAAAUCCUUGGCUUCUGGAGAGAGAUGCUCUGGUAUAGGUGGGUGUGAUUUCGUCGUUCCAACAUAAUAAAGAAGAGAAACCUGAAAAGACUUAGGACCGUUAAGAAUAAUCGAUGCACAUAAAUUCCAGAAGAAAACAGAUGAUGCAGUUUACCUCUUGAUAUUCGUGACUCCAAGGGGCUUUGCCUGUCGCCAUUUCAAUAACAGUGCACCCAACACUCCAUAUAUCAGCAGAACUGCAAGGAUGAACACUAAGUAUCAAUUGAAAAGAUAAAAAAAAAGUUGGAAGUGCAGCAAAAAGUGGCCCAAGAUCUUGUUCUGAAUUUGCCAUAACUAUCAGCAUGCUUGGAAUUAAUUAGAAGGAGAGACAUCUACAUCAAACUGUAAGCUACGUGUGCCCAUGCAGGUCCUUGAGCAGCAAUUUAAAACAGAAAAACUUGGAGAACAUAAAUGUGUACUUAAAUGUUUACAUUAUGUAAACAACAAUUUCUAGAAAGGAAGUGUAGCUCAAUGACGAAUUAAAAAAAUUGGUAAAUAGUAGUAUGUCAGUAAGAAACGGUGCUCCUGGUUGUUGUCAUUUGUCUAAUACCUUCCGGCAUUUAUUAUAAAACUUGCAAUAUCAUGAACACAAUACAAUUCUUUUAGACAGAAAUAAGUUGCACUCAUAUUCUUCUUCAUUCUUAAAGAAGUAACCACAGAGGUGCAAUUUUCCUUUCUCAACUAUACAAUGCUGAAUACCAAAAAAAAAUCACGGUUUACCAAUUGUGACCACUUCCAACAAUGACCUCUGGUGCCAUCCAGUAUGGUGUGCCUUUCAUCGUCUUUGCAGCAGUUGCAGUUGCCUAACAGAAGACAAGCAUGUAAAUACAGUGGUUCAAGAAGGAAAUAAUCACAUGAAAGAUGUAUAGGCAAUAAAAGGUCACAAGGCGUGUUGCAUUGCAAUGAUGAAUAGAACUCCAAGAAGGAAAGUGUUUCUUUUUUUCCCAUUUUUAGCUAGCUCAUAUGGUUCUGUGGUGAGUUCUGCUAUUAAAAAUGGAUGAAAAGGGCAUUCAAGUUUAAAAUCUAGAAAAAAAUUAAAAGGCAUAUGGAAUACUUAAAAUCUAACACAUGGUCAACUUGACAUCAACUAGGUUUAGCAAUGGAAUACAAGCCAGUAUAAAAUAAUGUAAAGGCAUAUGCGGACAGCAGAUAUUGGCUAUAACUAGUAUAUAUACUUACCAACUUUUCUACUUGUUUAGAUGCCCCAAAAUCUGCUAACUUAAUACAUCCUUUGUUAUCAACAAGUAUGUUUGCUCCCUGAAAUAUGACAGUCACAAGAACACCGUUUUACAACCACGUCAUCAAAUGCAUUUAAGCAUAAAGUUCAAUUGCUGGAGAAAUACUCAUGCCUUUAUAUCCCUAUGUAUGAUUCCAUUCCGAUGCAAAUACUCCAAGCCAUACAAAAGCUGUUUAGUAUACUUUCUGAUGACCUGAUCAACAAAUAGACAGCAUGAAAACUACGCUUAAUUGAUGAACUAGAAGUAAAAAGAGCAACCAGAACAUGCAAUACUGACAGCCUCAGGGAAUGAUCCAAGCCUCCCAAGUAGUGACUGUAUCGAGCCUCCAGGAACAAAUUCUAACAAAAUAUUUAGUGUAUUAUCCUCCCGUACUGUGCCAAUAUAUCUCUGAUCAAGCAACAUCAAACAUAUCAAAUACCACAGUUAAAAGGAAGCCUAACCAUGUUAAAAUUGAUAGUGAACUUACAACAAUAUUAGGAUGUGAGAGGUUCUUAAGCAUCUUCACUUCGUCCUCAAGUUCCCUUACAUGUGCCUAGUCAAUAAGUUUUCAUAUAAACAUAAUUUUAGGUCCACUAAAAGCACGAAUUUGAGAAUUGGGCAAACGAUAAAGAUAAGCGAGCUUGCAGAUCAAAGGUACUAACUUGGGCCUUCUCCCUCGUCGCGUUGCUGCUUCCGAUCAGAACCUGCAACCAAAAACCAACAAGAGAUCCAUUAAAUCGCCAGAAAACCUCCACAGAUAGAAAGCCUGGCAUCGUGGUGCAAGCUUCCCGACCUGCUUGACAGCCAGGAGCUCGCCGGAGUCGAGGUCCAUGCCAAGGUAGACCUGCCCGAACGCGCCGCUCCCGAUGAGGUCGCCCUUCCGCCACCGAAUCGGCGGGUUCUCCUCUCCUCUGCCAAUUCCUUCCUCCCGUACCCCGCCGCAUCCCUCGGAGGCCGAGGCCGCGGCAACGGGAGCGGGCGGCGACACCGACGGCGGAGGCAGGAGGCGGCGCGUGGGCGAGGGGCUCUUGGUCGCCAUCCCGAGCAGCCCCAUCCCCCGCGACCUGCGGAGGCGAUUGCUGAUCCGCUCCCUGAACCCUCCACCACCCGCGGCGGUGGAGGAAGAGGAGGGGGAAGCGGCGGGCUCGUCGAGCGCGGCGGCGCCCGCGCGGAAAGAGAUGGAGCGGCGCACGGAGUCAAACAGCUCGUGGAACCCGCCUCCGCCGGCAUCGUCUCGCCGCAUGGUGUGUCCGUCGGCGGCAAGGAACGGGAGGAGUUCGGGGAUCGGAUCGAGUGGGGAAUUUGGGGGGAUUUGGUGAUUUCCCUUGGCUUAGUAUCUUGCGGCGUGGCUCGCGAUUUUCAAAAUCUUGGGGUUGGGCCAUUAGGGAGGUGGCGUUGGACGGAAAUGACCCCGCCGACUCGACCGUUGGGACGGGAAUUUGGGUUUUCGGGGUUACAGUGGGCCAACGAAGGCUCAGCCCAAAGCGAACGCGUCCGAAACGGAAAAGAAAAUUUCGAUCACUUUCUAGACAAUAAAAUUAUCCGGCUGGACUUCAUAAACUUGCAAUACCGAACACAUGACCUCCGUAGCUGGUUCUCUCAGUGGUUUUGCUUUCUUUAUUUUAUAUUUAUACUGGAUGAAUAUUUAAAAAUUAUAGUAAAUCUAAAAAAUCUAUAAAAUGGAAAAGUCAAUUUUGCUGGACUCCACGUGAGUAGAUCUAUGCAGUGAACAUAUGAUAUGAUAUGAUAUAAUUUAGUAAACAAAUUUUGUUGUACUUUUAUAUAUAUAUAUAUUUCUGUACUUAAUUCAUAGUUACAGUUUCCAUGGUCCAAUUAUGGUGAAAUUUUUAUAGUGGCUAAUAAUUAUAUGCUUGAGCUAUAGCAAAAAAUUUAUGCUCAUUGGAUCAUGUAUGCUUGAAAAACUGAAGAAUCUCUAAUAUAGCUUGGAAUUUAGUUGCUCAAACAAAAAUGAUCAAAUGAGCAUGAAAAAAUUUACUACAGCUCAAGCAUAUAAUGAUUAGCCCACCAUAAAAAUUUCACCAUAAUUGGGCCAUGAAAAUUGUAGUUAUGAAUUAAUUAUAGAAAAAUAUAUAUCUAAAGUGCAACAAAUUCUUUUUACUAAAUUAUAUCAUAUUAUAUGUUCACGAUCUAUUCAUGUGGAGUCCAACAAAAUUAAAUUUUCUAUUUUAUAAUUUUUGUAAUUUACUAUGAAUUUUUAAAGAUUGAGGCAAAAUAAAUAUAAAAGAAAAAAGUUAAACCAUUUAGAGAAACCAGCCAGGAAAUUCAUAUGUCCGUCGCCAGUUCAGACGGAUAGUUUUAUUACGUAGGAAUGAAACACGGAUUCGUCCCAAAGUUUAGGAAGGUAAAAAGAAUUUUUCUCCAACGGAAAAAUCCCGCUGCAAAGGAAAGGUGCUGCUGGACCGACCCAGGAAGGAAAAAUCAUUCAAUGAUUAUUCAUGGGCCAACUCGGCCCAUUAUGUCGUGGGCUCUUAGCCUUCUCUCCUGGCUGUCAGGAAAGAGCUUUUUUAUUUUUUACAUUUUUUAAUUCCGAUUUUAGCAGAAAUAAAUGCUCAUUUAAAAAUUUUACAAAUCCAUACCUCUCCCGCCCAUUCAACCUGCGGAAACUGGACCUACCGAUUCAAUUAGCUAUAGCUAAUUCAAUUGGCUAAAUUUACCUAAAGACCUACAGUGGGCCCGUAAAUGAGCUGCCACCAGUUCACUUGGUGAUAUGUUGUCAUGUGGGUCCUACCACCUCGCAGACCAAUUAAAAGGCAGUAUAUUUUUCUUUACGCAGUGUAUUUUGAAAAGAAAUGCAUAACUUUUGCAUAUGACCUUGGAUGAGGACAAAGAUUCAUAUGAAACUUGUAGAGCUCGAUGGUAUCUACAAGUUUAUAGUUCAACACCUUUUUCAUAUGAAGCCAUCUUCAUACCAAAAUAAUUGAUAUAAAGUUUAGAUCGACAAAUACAAAUCUGAUUAUUUCUUUACCGAGAUGGCUCUAAUUGAUAAAAUGGUGACAAAGUUGUAAAUCUUGUCAAGCUCUACAUCUUUCAUAUAAAUUUUAUCUCCAUCGAAGGUCAUAUGCAAAAGUUAUAAUCUUUUAUAAAUACCUUGUAAAAAAUAUGCAAUACAACCUUUUGAUUGGGCCGUAAGGUGCUUGGGAUCCACCCUGACAACCUUUCACCAAUUGAAUUGGCUAUAGCUAUUUCAAUUGGCAGUAGGUUUGUUUCUUAGGGAAUCUCGUCAUAUCAAUCGGCAGGAGAGAUAUAAAUGAAAUUAGAAAAAUAUAAAAUUUUGAAAUUUUUUAUCAGACAUUUAUUUUUGUUAGAAAUGAAAUUAAAAAAUAUAAAAAUAUAAAAAUCUUUCCGCUUACGGCCAUCAAGGGCAUCAAGUAAAUGCUUUGCUUCGUUAGAAAAAAAGAUCAAAUUGCUAAUCAGGUUUAGUUCAUAAAAGAUUAACAGAAUUAGAAGAGAAAUGUCAGUUAAACCGGUAAUUGUGCUGGACCCAUUUUUCUGCCCACUGCAGGAUAGGAAGCUUCCUGUCUGCCACCACGGUUUCGCGUGGAUAAUGCAUAGUACAUGUAUAAACAACAGGGGAGUUCCAAAACUCAAGCUUCUUUUGUGUAAAAGAAAAAUGGUCUCGAAUGAACACCUCCAGGUUGGGCCAGACAUAGUGGUCAUGGCAGUGGCAGCUGUUCUUCCUUUACAGGUAUCCUGUUCCAAACAGGGUGGCUUCUUCCCCCAGUUGCAGCAAGAAAAAUUCAGUCGUUGAUGCUCACUAAUUUUAGCACUACUUUCUGGCACGCGAUGCUUAGUAUCCUAGACACCUGAGACUUUAAUCGAACUGAUAAAGACUUGGGUUAUCAUUAACCAUGCACAUCACUUGCCCACCAGCUAUCUUCAGGGCCACCUGACCAAUGGCAAAUGACUGAAUUUUUUUCAGUCAGGCUGCUCACUAACUGAAGAAGCCAAGCGAGCUGCAACAGCAGCUGUUUCUUGGAUCCCAAACAAAGCAAUGCCGCCACAGCGGGUCCAGCCCAGCGGUCCAGCCGUCGCCCCAGGGUUUCUCGAUAAGCAAAGUUCAGGGUUGGAGUGCGUUCAGAGUCAGUUUGAAUGUUCGAUGAUGAACCCUCGUCCGGAUAUUCAAUCACCAACCUUCGAUCUCUUGACCUCCCACCAACCUAAAAAGGCUUUGACAUUAUUAAGACAGCAAUAUCAUCUUAAACAAUGGCUUAUGCUUUGACAUUACUCCCUGUAAACUUUUGACAUUGCUCCCUGCAAACACACAAACAUUUUGGGCAACCACAGCCUCCAAACCAGUGGCGGAGCUAGGAUUGAGAGACAGGGUGGGCCGACAAAUUUUUUCUCUUUAUUCACUAUAACAAAUGUCAAAUAUGAGCUUACAAUAUAUGACUAUAUAAUAAAUACAUAAUAUCUUAUAAAAAACUAUUUCUCUUUGUUGGGCCUCCAUCUUCUAAUGGCCAUAAAAGUAUCAAUAACAUCAUCUUCCUUCAACGUCAAGAAAAUAUCCCGCUCAAUGAAAGUGAGUAGACAAUCAUCCAAAAGAGUAUCACUCAUCCGAUUUCUCAACUUAUUCUUGACAAAAUUCAUUGCCGAAAAUGCUCUUUCAACACCCGCCGUUGCCACCAGUAAAAUCAAUACCAAUUUGAUAAGCAAGUAUACCAAAUCAUAUAUAUUAUGCCUAUUUGUUUGAACAAGCUUAACUGAGAGGUCAACAAAUACUUUUUAUGCCUUGGAAGCUAUCUUCUCUUCUCAUGUCAUCGAUAUAGUUGUGAAGUUGCAUUUCAAGUCUUAGCAAGUCCGAGGCCGAAAAAUCAUUGGGAUAAAAUUCAGCAAGCCUAAGUACCUUGACAGAAUAAAUGAGGCAAAUGAGUUUGAAGGAUUCAAGACUGCCAUACAAGAGAGCAACUCCAUAUUAACCUCAUCAAAUCGGGUAUCAAGCCCUUGACUAAUUCGAUCAAUGAUGCCAAUAUAUACUUCUCUUCUAAAGUGAUCAUCAUUUGUUUGGAUUGGAACAAACCGAGCUGAUCUUCCUAAAGGCACGUAACCAUCAUCCAUUGCAGGAACAUGUAUGCCAUAUUUUUUACAAAAUAAAGUAACCUUUUGAAGAAAUCCAUUCCACCCAUCAAACCUCAAUUGUUGAAUUCUAUUCUUUGCCACGCUAACAAGAGAUAGUGCAUUUAGAAUAUCUUGGUCUCUUUGUUGCAAGCACAAUGACAAAUCAUUUGUAUAUCCAAGAAUUGUAAGCAUCAAGUGUGCACUGAAAAUGAAAUCAAAUGAUUUUAGUAUGAAAACCAUAGCGCUUAUUUUCGGCCAAUCACUCUUCUGUGCACGAUCUCGUCCAAGAUUUAUGAGUACUUCACGAAUGGCUGGAAAAAGACUAAUGAUAUUGACAAUUGUUUUAUAAUGAGACCCCCACCGAGUCUCACCUGGCCUAGCUAGCCCCAUCUCUUGAUUUAAUCCCUUUCCAGUACGGAUCUCACCUGAAUCAAUUGCUUUCAAUAUAUUCUAAAGAUUAACAUUUCGAAGCAUGUCGUGCCGCUUACAUGAAAUCCCAACAAUAUUAAGCAAGAGAGACAUUUGAUCAAAGAACCAAACACACUCAUCAUUUCCCUUAGCAACACCAACAAGAACUAGUUGUAGCUGAUGCGCAAAACAGUGAACAUAAUAAGCUGCAGGUGACUCUUUCAACAACAAUGUUUUCAAUCCUUUGAUUUCUCCUCUCAUAUUGCUAGCCCCAUCAUAGCCUUGCCCACGAAUUUGAUCUAGUGUCAAAUGUUGACCAACAAGUAAACUUUGAAUUGCUUCCUUUAGUGAUAAAGAAGUAGUAUCUUCUAAAUGUGCAAGUCCAAGGAAGUGUUCAACCGGUCUUCCCAUCUUAUCAACAUAACGCAAACAAAGAGCUAAUUGUUGUUUAUGUGAAACAUCACUUGCCUCAUCAGCUAAAAUUGCAUAGUGGUUAGCACCAAGCUCCUCAAUAAUUUUUCUCCUAGUUUCAAUUGCACAAGAUUGAAUAAUCUCCUUCAGUAUUUCUGGACUAGUCAAGGUACAAUUAGCUGGAGCAUUCUUCAAAACAACCUUAUCCACCUCUUCAUAAUUUGAUGCAAGCCAUUUUAAAAGCUCUAGAAAAUUUUCUCUAUUCCUAGACUCUUCACUUUCAUCAUGGCCAUGGAAUGCCAAUCCUUGAUUCAAAAGAAACCUCAAACAUCUAAGUGAAUAAGUCAAUCUGAUUUUGUAAAGCCGUUUCUCCUCAUUAGUCACUCUCACAAUUCUAUUAUCAAUUGCUGUGGCAGGAGUCAAAUAAGAGUUAUACCUCUCUUGGGCUGCAUUGUGCGCACUACCAACAUCACCCACAUGUUUAUCUAAUGCAUCAUCUCUAUUCCAAUUUCUCCAUCCACCUACAGUAAACGGACUAUCUUUCCCUCCUUUCUUGAACAAGAAGCACACAAAGCAAAAUGCAGCAUCAUUCUUAAUGCUAUACUCAAUCCAAUAAUAUUUCUGAAACCAUAGAAGGUUGAACCAUCGAUCUCUAGUACCAAUUUUUCUUUUCUUAAAUUCAUGUGCAUAAGGUUGAAACGGACCUUUCAUGAUAUACGCUCUACGAACUGCAUCUUGGUCAUUGAUAGGAUAACUUACAAUGGGCAACCUUUCCGCGGGAUCUUGUGGAAGACGAUCCGGAUCAAAAACCGGCGGUGGCAGCGGUGGCGAUGGUGGCGGUGCCGGUGGCGGCGAUGGCGGUGGUGAUGGCGGUGCCGGUUCUUCUUCCGCUACAUUAGUGUUGUCUUCACUUGAUCUUGAAAUAAGCGAAGAUGAAGAACCUUUUUUUGCUGCAAAUUUUUGAAACAUAGAUGCAAUAUUCCCAUCUCUCUUCAUAGUUUAUACACUGAUCUACAAAAUAAUAGAGUAAUAUUUCAAUUAGUGAGUAUAUAAAAUUAUAACAUACUGUGGGAAUUGACUCAUUGGGGAUCAAACAAUUGCGAACUUACUGCAGAUCGGUGAUCAAACAAUUGGGGAUCAAACAAUUGGGAAUCAUACCGUGAGAAGCAGUGGCAGCAGGCCUCACGCCCUCACAUCUACGGAGGGUCGAGGGAGCCGGGAGGAGUUGCGGCAGACACGGCGGCAGGGAACGGGUCGCGAUCGCUAAUCAAUUUCGUGGAGUUUGGCGCCUGGCGGGUCGGAGUCGCUCGCAUUGCAAGUCGGCAACGGAAUCCCGAUCGCCUGUCUGUGCUGGCCUGCAGAGUCCCGAUCCAACUCCAAGUCGGUUUCUAAAAAAAAAUCCAAGUCGCUUGGCCCAAACUCAGGGUGGGCCGCGGCCCACUUUAUCCACCCACCAGCUCCGCCCAUGCUCCAAACUGCAGUUUUGACGGUUAUUUCCUGUCACAAUGUAUUUGUCAAAUUUCCUAUCACAAUGUAUUGUCAAAUCCAAUAGAUUCAUGAUAUCCUCAAGAGUAUCUUCCAAGAUUAAUGUUAGUAUGCGAUUGUUAUGAUCCUGGACUGAAUAUUUAGAAAAUUAUUGGCCGUCAAAGUUUCAAAAGUUGAAACAAAAACGUGUCCAAGGCAUCAAGUAUUUUCCUUUUAGUGAAGGAGCAAAUUGCUAUGAUCAUCUGGUUACAAAUACAAGCCAUCCCUCUAGGCUGCCGGUCAUUUGUGGGAAAGUUGAUCACCAAACUCACCAUGUAAACCUUCAUACUGUAUAUGUGUAACAUUUGCAAUUAGCAAACACAAUACUCCUUACAUUUGCAAAUAAGGCACUACGUAAAUAAUGUGAUUGACAACAAAAAAGGAGCAUGCAAGAACUUGCAAGCAACAACCUAUGUACAGUUUGGCUGUCGUAACAAGAACAAAAUAGCAGUACAGUACAGUAUAUAGCGGUACAUUACAGAGUACAAAGCGCACACAAACUGCACUACAUACCAUCUGCACAACUGUCUCUAGUUUCAUCUCCAACUCACUGCACCAUUCAUCCAAAAUGACAGACCAAGAAGAAGAAAGCACUGAAAGAUUUUCAACGCGAUGAACAAAGCAUGUCUCACAGCAUCAUGUAGCAGAUGAAUGGCAAUUAAUCGAUGCACACGGAUCGCCACUGAUGAGAGCUUGUCGGCGUCGCGGCUGGCGGAGCGCUCCAGCUAGCCACGCGCCGGCGCUGAGGCUGCUUGCCGCCGCCAUGAUUGCCCUCGUUGUUCCUGGAGUUCGAGAUCUGGUCGUCAUCGCUGUUGUCGGCCAGGCCCAGCAUUGUGCGCAGCGCCGUCUGCGCCAUCUCCUUGUGAACGCCGGGGCUCGCCUGCUCGGCGAUGAGCAUCAGCGGCCGGUCUGCGCCCGCCGCCCUGGCGAGCCCCCGGAACCGCGGGCUGCCCCUGCUCAUGGCGUACAAUGCCGCGACACACCAUUCCUGCAGCUCCGAGUUGCGGGAUCCGUCGUCUGACAGGAUGCCGGACGCCGUCGCCACGGCGCCCGCGUCCAUCAGCGCGGCGCGGCCCUCCGCGCAGGCGGCCACGUUGCAGACCACCAUGAGCGCCAGCCUGCGGAUGGGCGCCGGCUCGGCGUCGUCCGAUGCGACGGAGAGCAGGCUCCUGGAUGCGCCCGGGGCGCGCGCGAGCUUGGACUGGUUCACGGCGGCGAGGGAGAGGUGGUACAGCGCCAUCCCGGCGUCGCGGCGCGCUCGCGGGGCGUGGUCGCGGCCCGCGAGGACCGCGAGGAGCGGCGGCACGGCCCCGAGCACGCCGAUGGCCGCGCGGUUGCCCUCGUGGAGCGCCAGGCCGAAGAGCGCGCCGGCCGCGUGCUCGCGCGCCUCCGGCGGCGCGGCGGCGGAGGCGAUGGCGUCGACGAGCGCCGGCACGGCGCCCGCGCGCACGAUGAGCACCCUGUUCUCCGGCUCCAGCGAGAGGUUCGCCAGCGCCGCGGCGGCGUCGGCGCGCGCCGGGGCGGUGUGGCGCGAGGAGAGCAGCACCCGCCGAAGCGCCGCGAGGAGGCGCGGCACGCAGAGCGCGCGCCGCCUCUCCGCGCCCUCCCGCGUGGCGCGCCGCAGCGCAGCCAUCGCCGCCUCCACCUCCCUCUCGUCCCCCGCCUCCACCGCCUUCGCCACCGCCUCCUCCUCGGCGUCAGCGACACGCGCCGGCUCCUCUUCUUUCUCUUUCUCUCUCUCUUUCUCUUUCUCUUUCGGCGCCGCCUUCCCGCCGCGCACCACCUCCACCUCAGCCGCGGCCAUCUCCCUCGACGACCUACCUGACGUCGACGACGACGACGUCGACGCAGCGGACGCCCCCUCUGACGAGCACGACAGGUUGGACGCCGACCUCGCCGGCGCCCGCGCCACCGGCACCGCGCGGAGCACGGCCUCCCUCGCCUCCUCGGCAGGAGGCGCCACGGGCGCCGCGCGGCCGGUGCGCGCGCACCACGUCCGGACGGCCGCCCGGAGCGCGUCGUUGGGUAUGGCGACGGCAACACCACCGCCCGGCGUGCUCCCUUCGGCCGCCACCACUCCGUCCGGUGCGAGCGAGAGCCCCAGCUCGGCGCAGGCCCGGACGCACGCGCGCUCGUACGUCCGGCCCGACGGCAGGAUGACUGGGUCCGUCAUGGGCGCGCCCAGGAUCGGGCACAGGAACUCCGCCGGCACCUCCUCUUGCGCCUCCUUCCUCGCCGGGGACGGAGGGACAGGGACGUCGGGCGGCCUGUUUUUCGCCUUGGACGCCGCCGCCGGCGGCGGCAGGGACAGGGACCGGAAGGGCAGCAGCUUCCAGCGCCGCGCGCGGUCGGCACCCAUCUGGCCGCGUCGCCGGCGCCGGAGCUUUUGAGCAGCAAAGCAGCGGCCGCCUUUAGGUGGCGCAGCGCCAAUAAUGGCUGCUGCUUUUGGCUCGGGGCUCGGCAACUUUGGCCGGCUGGCUCGCUCGCUCGCUGGGGAGUGGAGAGUGGAGGGGCUUUUCCUGGGCGGUUAAAUAUUGCGAGGGAGAGGCGGUGGCUUAGCCGUGAAGCGACGAGCGGUUAGUUCGUUAGGCUGCCCGACGCGGGCGGAAGGCUGCGGCGGAGGGGGGCUGCCGUGGCUGCGGUGGGGCACCGGAGCAAUGGAGCGUUACGGAUGGACGGACGCAACCGCGUCGCCGUCGCGCGGGAGGAAAGCUGGCGCCGGUCGUUUACCUCGUCUUUUUGUCGGGGGUGGAGGAUCCGGCUAAGCAACCAUGGCCUCAAAUUUCAUGGAGUUUCAUCAUCUUUAACUAGGCGUUAGAUGUAGAUCCAACAACUCUAUAUCUUGAGAGUUAAUAAAAAUAGUGAGAUAUCAGUAAUGGUACUGGAUUAGUGUCGUGGUGACUAAUGACACGUAGCAGUUCUAAAUUUCCAAUAGCGAAAUUUAAAAAAGUUAUUCUUAUUUAAGUUCAAUUUCCACCCUCCAACUAACACAAAGUUAGUUUUUAAUCUUUAACUACAAAUCGGAUAUGAAACACCAUCCAACAGUUAAAAACGGACAAAUUUAAUCCCUUGAGUGGUUUCAAAUAUAGUUUUUCUUUUUUUCUUUUUGAAAUUUAGAAAAUUUUGGUUUGAUCUAGAAAAUUCAAAAGUAAUUUUUUUAAAAUAAAAGGAAUAUGAAACUGGUACCAAAAAUCUUCUAAAAGUGUAACCUAUUUAUUUUGUGCUCUAGUUGAAGUUAUUUGUAUUUCAUUAUUAAAAAUAGUAUGUGUGACUACAAGGAAAAAAAAAUAGAUUCAAAUAAUUGACGCAUUCUUCAAAUAAAACCUAACUCUUUCAAAAAAACAUAACUCUUCAUCCCUUCGAUGAACCCCUCCCUCCUCCCUCACACAUUCUUAUUGCCAUUUAAACUCCCCCUUGUCACCUGAGCUUAAGCUAUCAACACAACGAAUAGCGACCUAACACGAGCGAGAUCGGUUACUAAGUUCUGACUCGCUAUAUUUUUCGAUGCACUAUCUUGUGACAUUGUUGUGGGUUUGUCAGUAGUAGCCAAUAAGCUUACAAAAAGUUAGCGUGUUCGCUUAUCUGGUUGAUCUGGCGUGAUGUGCGCCUCGCGUCCGGUUCAGAGCUGCUCGUUACCUGGCAAAUCUGGUGCUUAGCUACGGUUCUUGCAGAUACGAUGCAGGCUGCCUAUCACUCUGUCAAGAGUGUGACGCCGCAUGCGAGACGAGAGCACCCUACCUGUGCGUGCUGUGUGAGAUCUUGUCCUACAUACUCCACUCCCGGCCAUCAAAUGUUCUGGAAGCUGCAAACGGCUGACGGCGUCCUGGCAAAAUUGGCAUGUACUAAACUGAGCUCGGCUGAGCUGAGCCCUGCAGGCUCAUGUCCGUGAGCAUGCAGCUGCAACUGUUUAACACUACCGCGCAUCACAGCUCCAUGGUUCAGAUGCUCUAUUUCUCAACAGUAUAUAGGAUGGCACGCGCAUAAGCUUGGUGCUUCUCCUCCGAUUUUCACCUGUCAAAAGCGAGAGGCGCACAUGUCUGCUGCUGGCCCCUUUCUUCAGUACUACCGGUACUUGCAGGGUGUUUUGUGAGAGUACAAGGAAAGAGGUAGUCUAAUAUUUCGAACUGAAUCUGAUGAACGCAAAGUGGUGGCUACCUGCUGGGUGCACUAAGAUCCGGUAUAGUAUAAACUCUUCAGAUCACAGCUCGCAGUGUUCAGAGCCUGCCAUGAUCCUGGCCAGAUAUACAAAUCAUUCCACUAGCAGGCAAGUGCGUGCGCUUUAACUUGAACGUGGUCGUGGUAAACAUAAUCUUUCUCCCGAGCACGAUGAUUUCAAGCGUUGUGGGGGGCUGUGGAGAUCCCAUCCCGGGAAGAAAAGGCGGUGGGAAAAGAGACCAUCAGGCAAAAGCGGCAAGCUUUGCCAGAUGCCCCGGUCCAGACAGCAGGAUCCAUCCGUGCCCAGCGACGUGCUUGGAUGGAAAGCUUCGGUUCAGAGCAUGGUGCGCGAGGUCAAUAAGAAAUUGUUAGGAAGCAGCUGAGACCCACCUUCAGAUGAUGAGAGCUCUGUGCACAACAGGUCGGAUGAGAUCAUCGCUUCCAAGGAAGGUGGAGCCUGUGUGUCCGACCGUACCAGCAGAAACAGCGUCGUCACGAACCCGGCACGGCGCGUACGGUUCCCAGACACUCUGCGUUUAGGUAAUGAUAUGGAUUGGUCUCCACCGUAUGAUCUGAAGAGCACAAAUCCGCGCAGGUAUUGCAAAGCAGCCAGGUCACUCGAUCGGCCAAGCUAGCGCAAGGUUGGCCUCCAGUUCUCGAGUAGCCGAAACAGGUACAAGGCCAACAAAAAGAACACAAAGGGUGUGUUCGUUUCCUACGCUCUAAAUUUUAGACCUAUCACAUCAAAGAGAAUCUUGUUAUUUAGAAGUAUUAAAUAAAGUCUAAUUAUAAAAUUUUUUGCACAGAUGGAUGCUAAUUCACGAGACAAAUUUAAUGAGCCUAAUUAAUCUAUAAUUUGCCACAGUGAUGCUACAGUAAUCAUCUGCUAAUCAUGGACUAAUAUACCUCAUUAGAUUCGUCUCGCGAAUUAGACCUGGGGUUCUGCAAUUAGUUUUGUAUUUAGACUUUAUUUAAUAUCUCUAAAUGAUAAGAUUCUCUUUGAUGUGACCCCUCUAAACUUUAGACCCCAGGAUACGAACACACCCAAAGGCGCACUCUGCAUCCACAAAAGUAAGGUCGAUGCCGCUUCAAGUUGUAUCCAAAGCAUGUUAUAUACAGUGUAUCUUGCCCAUCACUCAAAUUUUAGUGUAAGCUUCCAACUUACCAUUGCCAAAGAGUAUUUUCUUUUAAAAAAUAGAAUCAUACCAAUAUACUAAAUCUUUAAAUUUUAAGAAAUGCUUUCGUGCACGCGAGAGAGACCAAAUUGAAAAAUUAAAUAAAAAAAAUAGCUGCUACCGAGAGGUGUAUCAAACCGCACAAAUUUAAAUCAACAAAGAUGAAAUUUACUGAACUGAAUAAAACUGUAAAUUAUCUGUUACAAAAUUUCAUAAGACUUUCCUCACGUUCAUCUGUCCAUCUCUCACCUAAAAUUAAAAGGGAAACUAAUCUGAAGAGUUAAGCUGAAGCCGGAGCAGAAACCUCAGCCGGGGCUGACGCGGGUACAGGGGCCGGUGCAGCAGAUCGAGCCGAGGUGGGUUCAGACAGCGCAGGGAACUUGGACACAUCCUCGACGUCCAGCGCCGGCGCAGAAUUGCUGCACUCCCGGUACCUAUCAUUGGCUGCCUGCCUCUGCCGCUGCGGGUAGUAGCCACCAUUACCAGCGCGCUCCUGUUGGUAUCUACCAACAUUGCCACCCUGCUGCUGGAAGCCUCCAUUGCCUUGGUAACCGCCGUUGCCCCUGCCGUAGCCAUAGCCAUCGUUGCCCAUUUUGUACUCGUUGCGGCGACUGGAGUAGUCGCCCCUCGGAGCGUCGUCGCCUCGGCCAUUGUAGACCCUUGACGCACCAUUGCCAUUUUGGAUGGCAGCUUCGUUCUUGGUGCUGUUGUCACGGCUGCCACCCUGAAAAGGGCCAUUGAAGCGACCACGAACAGAAGAGCCAUCUUCAUGGUCAUAAGAGACACGCUUUGGCGGUCUGAACCCAAGGUUUUGGCGGGGGACAGUAACCUGAAAACAGAUGAUAAAGAUUAGAUUAUAUACAACACAUCAAGUUGGCACUGAACUACAAUAUUUUAAGAAAAUUCUUAUACCUUCUUAGGUUUAGCAUCCUUUGCAGUGGUCUCCUUUCCAUCUGCCUCAACCGUUUCUUCCUUCUUGCUAGCAUCCUUAACCUUGGGCUGAGCCUUUUCUGCCUUCAUGAUUGCUUCCUCAUGAUCCAGCUUCUUUUUUGCCAACAUCUGCAGGCCCUUAAAUUCUUCAGCAGUGACCUUCCUCACCUCAGUUUUUAAGGUCUCUGAGAACUUCUUUGUCUCCUCACGCAUCCUCUCAUACUCAGCAAGGGUCUAAUCAAAUUAUGAAGGUCAGAAAACACACGGCAAGCAACAAUUGAACGAAAUUGCAUGGCUAUCAGCGAGGCAUUACCUUUUUCUCUUCUUCCAGUGGUUGCUUUUCAAUCUGUUUCUUCGAACCAUCUACCUCAAAAUCUUGCUUCUUUGCCUUCUCCGUCUCACUGCCGCUGCUUUUCUUAGCAUUUUUCUUCUUCCUCUUCUCAGAGCCAUUGAGUCUCUCCUUUCGAAAAAUUGUCCUUUCUCCGGUGCUGGCACCUUGUCCGUUGUGAGGACCAUCUUUGGUAGCACCCCUGCCAAUAAAGCGUAACAUUGAUAAGUUUCAAACAAAAAACUCACAUCUAUGUGAGGAGAUAUCUGGAGAAUUUGUACAGCAAAAUAUUAGAAGUUACCCAACAGACUUGUCUGAUUCCGAAGCAGGCACGGCAUCGCCAUUAUCAGCAUUGGCCUCCUUUUGAUCUGUCGCGCUAGCACACACUACAUUCUCUUCAGGCCUUUCCUCAGCCUCUGUUCCAGCAUCAGAGGAUGCCUUCACCUUGCGCACAUACACCUUCUUCAUCCUGGGCUGGCCUUGACGAUUUCCCUGCCUCUCACCAUUGUUGUAUUUACCCUGAACUCUCUCAACCUGCCUCUCAUUAUGUCCAUAUGAGUAGUGCUCACCACCAUCACACAUCUGGUCAUUGUCCCCACAGUUGCCACCAUCAUUAUUGUUGUAGAUAUUGCCAUUAACGCCUUCAUAAUUGCUGCCAGAUUCUGCAUUGGUAAAAUUGGAAUUGUUGAGUUUCUUCCUCUCAUCCUCCUCCAAAGGAAUGUUAUGCUCCUCGUAGAAAGCUUUUCUUUGAGGCACUAAUAUGGCUUCCUCGAUCCUCAGUUUCCUCUGCUCCUGCCUCAGUCUCCUUUGCUCCUCGAACAAAUCCUUGAUACGGUCUUCAUUCCCUUGCUUCUCCUUCAACUUUGUUUCCUCCUCCCUCAGUUUUAUUAGAACCUCCCUCAACCUUUUCAGCUCUUGCUGACACUUUGUUACACCUAGCAUCCAACAAGAACAUGGCGGGUUGAGAUAGGAACCAAAUCACACGUGAAAACUAAUAACUUGAUACACACAGAGAUUAUAAUUACCAAAACAUAACAAAGUCGAUCUACCAAUCAGUAAUAGUGGCAUAAAAGGUAACUGAAUAUGACAAUCGACAUAAAUGGCAAGAAUACAUCACGCGAAUACAAUAGCAUAUAAGACUAGAAAUAAUUGAACAAGAUCGAAAUAAGAAAUCAUAUCAUAUAAUUAUAACUAGCUAGUAAUUUAUAAAGAUUUGGACCACCACAUGACAUGACAACACGCAUAGAUUGACAAACGGAUCGAACAUAUAAGAGAUUGAACAAUGAUUGUAAAAAUGGAUCUACACUAAUCUCUAUCCACAUGACAAACAACCCAGCGUGAGCGAUCAUCUAAUCUAAUCUAAUCUCGAUAAGACUAGUAGAGUGCACGUGCCCACGCACGUGUUUAAAAUCUCUUGUUUUGGAAAACAAAUCUAAAUCACCACCAAACUAAAAUCCAAUAGACAAAAAAUUUAGAAACCGUCCAUAAUGACAUAAGAACUUAAGUACGUACUGCGAUCCACUUUAAUGAUUACAACAGUUGUUUUGGUAUGCAAUAAUAUAAUGCUAAUUUCACCAAAGAAACAUAAAUAACUUUGUGCUCUUACUUAUGUUCAUGUGCUUUACCAGUGGUUACAUUCUCCCUUUAUAUUUCAGCUUUAGGUACCAAAUGUUAACUUCAUUUAGUUGUUUACAGAAAAAAUAAUAGAAAGUUACUUACUUUGGGGCAGAUGCCUGCUAUACGCUGAUAUGGUAACAGAAUUAUAAUUAAAAAUAUGCAUUCAUCUACAAAUAAGAAAAUAACGUACAUCCGUUUUCAUAACAUUUUUUUUUUGCCAUACUGAACACUUCAUGUCAAGCAUUUGCAUCACAUUUUUUUUGUUUACAGCCAUGGAAACUGACAAAAUUUUAUCAGAUCAUGAUAAGGUUUACAAAUAGUUUCAAAACCAAGUUAAAGAGAAUAUGACUGAAGAUGCUUUGGUCUUCUAACAUUAAUUUCUUUUCUUUUGUACUCUAUGAGCAUGGAAAAAAAAUCAGAGUUUAGAUAAGACUUGUCAUAUUGACAUAUGUGCUAUCCGGAAAACAUGCUAUAUCUGAAAUUGCCAUGCUUACAUGCCAUGCAAGGUGAUUGAAACAAAUUGAGCGUACUGCAGAAAACAGCAGAACAGAAAACUAAGUAGGUUGGUGCAUUCAUUUUUCUAUAUACAAGAUCGCAACAGAUCAUAUAAAUGACUCUAUGACACUGUACCAUACAACUAACUAAUUUGCAAUAGUAAGAAAACUAAUCACACUAAUGAACUCAAUUGUUUGAGUGUAUUUUUUGCACCAUUAGGCCACCCACAUCCGAAAUUAAAUUCGUCUAUGCAUGAUCGAUGGCUCAAUUUGCAGGGGGGUGAAACUUGCACGUGUGACGUGUUUACACUUGUCAAUCGGCAACAUUGAGUCAUCUCUGAAUCAACCAAUUUGGCUGGCCACGAAACUCAUUAGUAGUACUAAUUUUCUAGCAUGUUAAGCUCACUUAAAUAUCUCAAAAUUUCAUCUACCAGCGAGCAAGCAAGUCACCACGAGCGAUCGUCUAAUCUAAUGUGAUCUAGAUAAGAUUAAGAGGACAAGACGACGGGGAGGAGGAUCGAUGCAUACCAUUAUCGUGCUGCAGCUUGGUGAAGUAGGAGUAUUUGGGCUUCCCGUGGGCGGCCGUCUCGACGGGGUCGGCGGCGUCGGCGAGCUUGGCAGCGGCUGCCUCGGUCUUCUUCUUGCCGACGACGACGGAGAUAGCGGCCUCCCCGGACUCGCCGUCCGCGAGCUCCAGCAGGUCGAAGUUGCAGGUGACCAUUGCGGCGGCGGCGGCGCAAGUAGCUAAACCCUCGUGGCGAGCCCUGGUCAGACUCGAGAAGGCGGCGCUGCGGGCUCUCGAUUGGACGAUCCGAAUGGUGGGCUGGUUGGUUGGUGGACGGGUGGCGUGGUGUGCGACGCGUUUUAAAGGGCCAGGAACCGGGACGCCCCUGUUGGAUCGGCGUCCGGCGCGGAGGGGCAUCGCCAAAAGAAAACGUUGCCCUGGACCUUGUCAGAGUUCGUGUCGAGAUCGGCGACAUCGCGUUGCGAUAGCAUGGUUCCCUGCUUCAUUAGAGUCGUGUCUGUAUUACGUAUACCAACUAUACACGCAGAUGUCGCCCACCGACUAUAAGCCAGUAACCAGGCUGCAGCCUGAUCGACACGCUCGACAUCGUAAACGUCGCUGCUGCUGCGACCUCGGGAUACGCGGAUCGACGACCGGCGGCGAGAUGGCGGGAGGCGGCAGUAUCAAGGCGAGCGCCAACAUGUGGGCUCUCCUCUCCGACAACGAUCCCGGCCACAGCGAGGCGGCGGCCGUCGAGCAGAGACUUGACGACGGGAAGGCCAGGGGCAAGGGGCCAGCCGCCGGGGACAAGCGGCAGGCCGUGGCCAGCGGCGAGCCGGAGAGCAGCGGGGUCGGCGGCGACGCUGCGAGGCACGAUCGCGAGUACAAGCAGGCGCGGGUGGAGCGCAACAAGGAGCAGAAGAAGCCGCCGCCGCCGGCCAACCGCGAGGCGAGCACCUCCCUGACCGCCGGGGAGUGCCAGAGCCAGACGACGAAGGGGCCGGCGCCGAUGAUGAUAAGCACAAACGGGGAGGCCGAGGAUGGAGACGGCGGCUACAGCUCGGGCCAGUCCGACAGCGACGAGGAGGACGAGGGCGGAGCUGCGGCGGCGGGUGGCAGCAGUUGCCGGAAGCUGCUUUGCGGGCUGUUCAAUGCGGCCGUUGUGAUAUCCUCGCCGCCGUCUUUGUCAAUGUCGCUGCGGCGCCUGCUGGCACCGCCGGCCCUCCAACCUGACCGUCGGUGCUGUCAGUGCAUCUCGACUUAGUCCACAUGGUUUGUCUCUUUAGAUGUCUUAAUACACAUGUUCGAUUGCAAAAAGAUUAGCAAUCCUGAGUUUUGAAAAAAGUCUUGCAUCUAUUUAUUAAAUGCAACAGCCUUGUUUUAGGCAGAUGGACGCAUCGUUCUCUCUAUAUCCUCUCAAUUUCAUGUUGCAGUUGCUGUCUGCACUCACACGCACGAAUCCUCCAUAUCUCACUUGAACAGCGAUUUGAUCUCUGUUUGGUAUUUUGCUGUCACUUUGUCCGUCUUAGUUUCAUGGUGGGUGUCAACAGUGCAUUGUCAAUCUGAACAGAAAAUAAUGUCAAGCUUGCAAGAAAGAUAACUUCUUGAGUAUAAAUACGAGUGAAAACUUACUGUAAACGGUUCGUCGACAAUCAUGAUAGGGCCGAAGCGGAAAGAGCAAUGUGUGGUCCUGAAAUUUAUUGGCAAAAUAAUUCAAUGCCUCCUCUGAUUUAACUGCGAUAAGCGCCAAAUAGCCACAUCAUACAUCAAAUUACUAUAAUGAAAUUGUGUCAGUGCACACAAAGAAUGACAUCGUCCCAAAAACCCAUGUAUGGCUGUAACUAUCUCCCGAUCAAACCAACAGAAUUGCAUGUACCACAUUUUUAGUUCUGUUCACCGAUGUUUUAAGAUUCCCAGCAGUAAGAAGAGGGCAGCAGAAUGAGAAAAACAACAACAGAUCAGGCAACUCUUACCAGGUUCUCAGCUCAUCAUAUAGCAUAUUCAUGACCUUAUUUUUCGCUACUUCGCCAUUCUCAUCAACGAGGGACUUCCUUUUUGCUUCUGCCAGAACUUCAUCAUUGUUGGGAACAAUCAUGGUACCGAGACACCGUUGAUCCUAUGCAGAGAACAAAUGAAGGAAUUUCAUAACUACGAAGGUUAAUAAUCUGUUUACCAUAGCAGUAUCCAAAUAUAAUCUUGUCACAACAAAAGUAUGAGAGAUAAUUUUUGACAAAUACAAGUACAAUGCAAUAGCAAUAACAUUGCACAGUUUCUGAUAAUGACUUUCCCUAGUUGAAUCACAAACUGUUUUUCGUAUGUCAAACAUUGAUAUUUUUUAAUAUACUGAUGGGCACGUUUUUGAAAGUGCGUCCAGACAGAUUAUAAAACAUAGGACAAAAAAAGAGAGGAUGGAGAAGUAGAAAAACAAACCUGUACAAAGUUUCAUAGACCAGCGAUACUGAUAUAAUAUAGUGAGGUUGGUAACACUGCAAAUCUUCCUAUCAAAGAAAAUAGAAGAAGAUGUCAAAAUGCCCUAAGGAACUUCAGCAUCUUUUGCAACAGAUAGACAAUAAAACUAGUAAACAACAACACAGAUAGAAGUGCAGAAUGGAGUUCUGCAGACUGCUGCAUGCCAAUACAAGAUCUGACUCAUUUUGCAGCUUGUAGUAAGCUGAUGAAGAAUAUUAUAGCAUUAGUCAUGCAUCUGAGCACACAAAUAUAGUAUAAGACCGCAUGAAUUUCUCAAUGACAAUAAUAAUAGGUGAUUUAUAUGGAAGCUAACUAUAGUAAUCGUCCUUAAUAACAUUAUAAAGUGCUUAAUGCAAAGACCAAAUAUAGCUAGGUAAUUUAUGUUGGAAUAUGCAAAAACCGUACCUUCAUAUACUUGACGGCAGUGUAAACUUGCUGGAUUCCGUAAGUGAAGAUGAAGUACUCACAAGCACGCUCAUAAGCAUGCCAUGGUGGAAGCAUGCUUAGGAACCUAUCACCAGGUUCUGCUGGUACAAUGUCCCACAAAUUCUUUAUCUGUGGAACAUAUCAGCAUAAAACAUGUAUAAAUGAGGAAUAUAUCAAACAGAAAACCUUAGCAGUUUGGUUGGAAUUUUUUACAGGGCACUUGAAUAUUUAUGUUUAUAGGAAAUCCAGGAAAAAAACAUAAUAUUAAGCAUAACUGCCUAUACUGAUAUCAUAAGGAUUAACCGAUUAGGAAAUCACAUCGAGAUAACGAAACAAAAUAGUGCCUAUUACACAAGGCAGCAUACCAUCACUUAACGAUUGUGGUUAAAAUUGAGAGUUUGUCUUUACCUGAUGCAAGAGAUUUUGGUGGGUCAGCAUUACGCCUUUUGGUGUGCCACCUGUUCCACUAGUAUAUAUUAGUGUUGCCACAUCUUCUUGAGUAAUAGUUUCAAAGAUUUCUUGCUGACCUGACAAAUGAGAAACAACAAUUCAUAGUCUAGCCAAUAGUUGUGUAAAAGCAACUGUAUAUGUGGUGCAGAUUGACUACCAGGAAGUAUUGAGCAUGCAUUUUUCAUGCAUUGCUAAUUGUACAGGCAUAAUCGUUUACUGCAUGAUAUAGCAGUAUCAUUGAAGAAAAGAAAGAAAUUAUGAAGAAUGUAAUUCAAUCUAUUGCAUGAUACAGCAGUAUUAUUUUGUUGAAGAAAAAUUUUCUGAAGAACUAAAAGAUGGGUGAGGUUUUUCAUUUAUUUUUCUAAAUUUCAAACAAAGAAAGAAGUGUAAGUGCUCUUAUUUAAAUCAACAUAUUUCAAAUAAAUACCGCUUAGUAAGAAUAAGCUUGGAUUAAUGCAGAAAGAAGUUAUUUUUUAAGCUCUUGAUAUGACUAAAUGAUCAAGUCAAGCAUUAAAUCAGAGAUCUGGAAAGGACAAUGCAUCCUAAAUAUUACAGGGCAGCUGUAAGUGGUACAGUAUGGGAUGCUUAUGUUAUGAGGUGUGAUGCCAUCACAUAACGAGAAUAUUGCAGGACAACAUAUCUUAGGAAUUUGUUGUCCUUUACCGCUAGAAAUAGCCAAAUGACCUAAGAACAUGUUGACAAAAGUCAAAAACCACAAUUCUUAAAGAAACUGCACAAUCAGAUGAUUUUCAUUUAUGAUAUCACACAAAGUUACCUUGGUGGCCAGAAAGAAGCAGAGCAUUACGACUCUCCCGACCAGUUUAGUCAUAUCCUUGUAGUCAUAAAGUGGUAUAUCCUUCACAGCUUUGCUAUCUAUGCAUGAUUUGUCACCCCAAACUCCCAAAGUAGCACAAUGAAUCUUGCAUUAAUCCUUGAUAUGAAAGAUUCUGCAAGCCGGUUAAAGAAUUGAGGACUGUCCACAACAAGUGCAAUGCUGUGAUGGGAAAAACAAUAAAUUCAUAAUCACGGCAUGAAAGUAAAAGAAAUAUAUGUGCACUGAAUAUUAUUAUGCAGAAUCUAAAACCACUCCUAGUACUGUCAUCUCUCUGUCUACGUUUCCAGAGUUCAUAUGAUAAAAAAUUUAUCAAGUUUGAUGAAGGAAUGCGCUUCACUCGCAUAUCUAUAUGCUGCGCAAUACAAUGAUACUUUGAUUCCGCAAGCAACCGGUGAUGAUGUGUUCCAUUGUAAAGUUCAAGAUGAAACAAUCCAGUGAACAUAUAUGGCAUAUGUAUUUCUUGUAAUCGAAUUUCCGGUGAUCAAGUAUAUGAUAAUAAUAGCCCAUCACAAAUACUUUUCCUACCAUAGAUACCAAAAUGCAAGCAGAGUCGCAUGCUGAAAUAGGUCUAAUAUAAUAUAAAAGGUGGACAAUUUUUCUUUUUUUCGACCGUGCCUGAGCACGUUUUUCAUUAAGAGGGAGAAGGUGGACUAUUUGACCCGAUGUAGCUCAUCCAGUUCUUAUGUAGAGGGAGUGAGGGAGAACGCCAAACUUGCACCCAGAGUUGCAUGUCCCCUGAAAACAUGAAGUAGAAUCAAUGGAAGAACUCAGUAAGGCAUUUUGAAACGAAUGGUCAUUUAUAGAGCUUCUUUCCAUUUACAACUGCUACAAGAGAAUUUGAGGGUUGAAGUCUCGUAAAACCAUCUGGGUUGACGUAGAUAAGGACCAGAACUUCAUUUAAUGACAUGUCAGACUGGAAUUCCUACGGCUCUAACCCUAUAUGAUAUCAACUAUGUAAAAGUCCAAUUUGGUUUAAUUGAAAUUUAUUUUAAAAAACAAUUCAGUAAAACUCACCUUUCUGAAUGAAUGUAUAUUUGAAACAAUUCUUCAUCAAGAGAUCUUGUUCAUCUAACAACAUUGAUUGCACCAGUAGCCAUGAUUCCUGUAUAUCAUAUGUUGUUAGUAAAAAUCAUCAAUGAUGAAUGAAUGUAUUGGACAGUAGUUAAAUGAAACCAUCUAGAUAACUGACUAAAAAUAGUAAACACAUAGUUAAGCAGAUAAAAUCAUAAAAAUGUAAAUAGCAUUGUGUUUUACGGCCUUAGAGCACAUCUUUAUCUAUUUGAAAAAUCAAGCCCAAGCUGAUAGUUGUGGACUAGUAUCUGUAAACUUAGAUGUCAUAGCUACCACAUUGCUAUGUGGGAGCUUCAACCAUGGCAUGUUUGCUACUUUGCUUUGGAAGAAAUAGAAUUCACAUAAACUCCAAAUGCAACUACAGUAAUGCUAACCUUCUAGCGCUCCAGCAGCAAAUAUCAGAAAGGAUAAAUAACCAAAAAACUAUCACCAGGAAAGAAACAAUAAAAGGGAAUGUCAGCAUUGGGAUCACAAUGCGUAUCUCAAAACAAACAAGGUAUGUUACCUUGAUCUGCAACUAACCACCGACAUGAGUUGUCAGCUAAAAGAGCUAGCUUUUUCAUCUGGAGCAAUGCCAAUGGCCUUUAGACCUUGAGAAAAAUCCAAUAUUUCUUGUUCAAGCUGAUAAGAACAUAAAUUAGCAAUUAGAUACCAUACAUCUGCGGCCAUUAAAUCUCUGAAAUAAAUGAGAUCGUGUAUUCUAAAUGUGAUAGGGAAGAUGAAUAAAUUGUAGGUGAUGAGAACAUGUGACUCAAAUAGAGCAGUACUCAUUAUUGUUCAUGUUUGUGUGCAUCUAAACUGAAAUCAUGCAGAUGCUUGUUCUAAAUAUUCAUAAUGGCUUUUUUUAUCUUUUCCUUUAAAGGGGAUCAUUCAGCAACGGAAGAAUGAAAACAUUUAUCAAUGCCCAUAUCCGUUGAUUUCUCAUUUUAAUCCUAGAUUAUCAAGCAUCAAUGAUUCAUAUUGGAGCCAGAGAUGUACGUGUGUAUAUGUCCAUUCUGUCGGCGGUUCAUGAUAAGGAUCUAUUACAGCUAUGAGGUCAGGAUAUUUUUCUGCCGCUGUCCUCCAGAUAUCUGGAACUGCCUUCCAUUCAUGCACAUUCAAGUCACUUCCGCCAGGUAAUAGAACACUCUCAAGUAGAGGAGAGCAGUUUCUACGAAGUGGAUGUUCAAGCUACAAAGUGGAAGUGGAUUAAUGCAACUUUCAGGCAAAACAUCUUAUAUUUUGAGUAAGAACUCAAUAAUGCCCAUGCAGUAAUCCAUAAAAUAUACUACUCAUGCUUCACAGCAUAACUAUUUUGCAGCAGAAUACUUGAGACUCCCACAGUUUCACAAUUUCACGCAUGUACCAACAAUUUCGCGAUUCCAUGUAGAACAGUGGGAACAGAUCCACAAUCCAGAUCAGCUUCCCACAGGGCUAAACAGGAAUCUACAGAUCAAAAGGGUCCAAAUAACAAAAUCAAGACUCCUCCCACAAAGCUAAAAGAGAAUCUACACAUCAAAGGGACCCAGCUAACCAAGGAUCAGGAUGGUAGGAACGGCUGUACCACCUCAUCUGCCCCCCUUAAUUGACAUGGGUGAUACUGCGGUACUGCCUAGCUCGAUCACACUCGCACAGCCAAUUUGGAUAAUGAACUCAAUACCUAAUUAAAGGUGGGCCGAAAGUAAGUGGCUCCUCCGUAACCAAAGCGCCGAUUGCUGAGGCACAAAAGGGGUGGUACCACUGCCAGGUAGGGAUCGCCCCCACAGGGGAGACUGAACCUCGGGCGCCCGGCAUUUAUAACAACAAAGCGGCGCCGUUCGGAUCGCGGAUCGCCGCAGCCUCCCCGGCCGGCUCACCGGAAUCGGAGAAAUUCCGGCGAAAUGGUAACGAGCACGGGCGUUUUGGCCCGCCUCAACGCGGAGCACGACGACGAGUAGGAACAACAAGGGGAUGGGAUCACCGCGAAACAAACAGGGUGGAGAGCAAGGGCUAACCGCGAAAUCGGCGGACGGGGGCGGCGGAGAGGCGGCCGACGCGUACCGGGGCAGGCCGCCGCGCGGCGGGGGAGCAGCGCUGCGGGGCGCCGAGGGGGGCUGAUGAGCGGAGAGGGCGAGCGGCGCGGGAAGCAGGGCCCGGCCAUCUGGCCGGACAUAAAAAAGCAGAGACCAGCGGAGCCACUCUGGACUGGAGAGUGAUGUGCAGCGGCUGAUCGCGGGAAGUAGUUGCUAUAUCUAGCUACCACUUCUGCGAUGAUUGAUUCAAAAUUUUGUUUGUCCUGAAAUACAAUCAAAGUUCAUUGAACAUCUAAUGGAAAGAAGUCAUGUAUAUUUCUGUAUUGGACAAUCCGUGACCAUACGGGAGCAGGUCGAAAAUUUCGGCUCAAGCCCAGCCUACAUAUUGGUUGGGUUUGGUCGGUCGGGUGUUUUUCAAGUGGAUUGAGUUGGGUUCGCCGAAUCAGACGGCCCGCGAUCAAAUCUACAGUCCGCAUAUGCCGCAACCGCACCUUAAACUUCGCCUUCCGCUAACCACUUCAACUAGCCUCCUUUGUCGCCAACACUCCCAGGCUUCCUCCACCAUCAUGGCGGUGGCACUACCGCCACCUACCGUGCUGUUGAGAUACCACUACCACCAUGGUCCGAAGGCCUAUCCUGUCAUUCCUUUAGAUCCCGCAACUAUAAAUCCCUACCCCAAUCUGAAAUGAAAGGGAAAACUCCGGUUUACACCUCUCAAACUAUCAUAAAAGUUUGAUUUACGACCUUUAACUGCAAAAUUGGAUAUCAUAGACCAUCCAACUGUCGAAACCGGGCAAUUUGGCCCGAUUUUGAAGGUGGUUUUGUAUUUUUUAAAUAAAGAUUAAAAAAUUAAAACUAAUUCAUUUUAAAUAAAAAAUUAUGAAACUAGUACCAAAAUUUAUCUACAAAAUUAAUUUAUCUAUUAUAGCUUUAUUUGAAUCUUAUUUAUUUAAAAAUAUUAGGCAUAACUACAAACAAUUAAAUACUAUGAACGUGAAAAGGUUGGAUCCGAAUAAUUGAUAAGUAUAGUACCAAUAUAUAUAGGUUACAUUUUUAGAUAACUUUUGAUACCCAUUUCGUAAUUUUUUAUUUCUUAUGAAUUUUUAAUUUAAAUCUGAAUAUUUUAAUUUUAUAAAAUGGAAAAUCAGCUCCCAAAGGGCCAAAUUGGUCUAGUUUCGACAGUUAGAUGGUCUAUUGUUGACAUCAAAAUUUAGUAAGAUUCUUACAGGAUUGGAUUAAGAAAAAAAUCAAUCUAUCAAUGGAAGUUUAUCCAAAAGAGAACGAGUUAAAAGAAGGAAUUGUGAAGACUACGAUACGGUAGUUUAAAUUAAUCUAUUAAUUAGACAGAGUCGGUUGUUUUUCCUUUUAUCUUUAGGAAAGUUUAUGCCGUGUCCAAUAAGAAAUAAGAAUUAGUAUCCACCUAUGGGUAUAAAUACGUACACCUAGGGCCAUUGUAAUUUACCUCUCGAUUAAUACAAUGCAACUUUCGGUGCAUCGCCACCCUUUUUUAGGUUUUUAUCACCGGCGUACACAUGUCACCUGACGCGAGGCUGACGCGGGGCUGCAUCGCUUGGAUCCCCAGCGAAAGAGCAAGUCCUAAGUUCCGCCAGCUCUACCAAUUGUAUCGACCAUAUUGAUGUUGUCCAAGGCUGCAUGGUUUUGAUGUCUUGAAUUACUCUAGUUCCGUCGGUACAGGGCCUGCCAGUUAUCAAUUCUUAACAAGUCUUGCAAGGCUGCAUCGUUCGACCUCUUACUAGAUCUGAUAGAAUCAUAGUUAUCUUGACCUUAUUUAGAUGUAUCAGCUUAUAUCUUUUGAUCUGUUGUUUGGUGAAAGAUUGAUUUAUUUAAUGAAAACAUCAUAUUAGCUCAUAUUAGCUGAUAGUUUUUGUCUUAGCCUUAUUUAAAUUUUUAUUGUACUGUUAUCCUGUCGUGACUAAAUUCACCGGCGCGAUUGAUAGUGACGAUAUAUUAAUUGCUAUUAACUUAAUGGUUUUCUUUAUGAUAAGUUUACUAUUCAGUAAUUAUGUAGCAAUUGUUUAAUCAUCGUCAACCCACUGAUCGAUAGCUUGUGCUAUAUAAUCAUCCUCUAGGUUGAUUCGGCUCGUAUAGCCGAAGACCUAUUCAUGCUCAUCGAGAUGCUGGAAUCGGCUUCUAGCUAAUAACUUAUUUGUCAUGUUUUAUUUUAUUGCACUGUUGCUACUAGCACAAGGAUCAUAUCGGUCUGAUUGACGGAUCGUCUCGAACUUUAAAGGAAUAUUUUUACCUUAUCAGUUGCAUAAUCAAAUUGAGUGGCACGCCACAAGCCUCAAGAUUCAGAUUUGCUCUGGAGCUAAGCGGAUCUUCCAACUUAGAGUGUUGCACGCAAGAAAUCAUCAUCCGAUCGAUUUUUGCACCAACACCUAUAUUAUUUUAUUUUAUAGUCGAAGGUAGAAAAUUAGAUUUUUAUGAUAGUUUAAGAGUGUAAACUGGAUUUUUCCGACUUGAAACCUUAAAAUCCUAAUUUUAAUUCCAAAUCAUAACUAAUUGGAAUUUUGUUGGAGUUGGAUUCGUUGUCGGAGAAUAGGAGAUCACCGGAUUACUCGUCGAAAAAAAGAGGAAGCUGAUUUGUUACGUCUCUAUUAUUUUUUACCUUUUUGGCCUCCGACCUCCUCUCCUCUUCCACGUAUCCGACGAAUGGGUGGCUAAAAUCGAGAGCCGAUUUUGGAUUUUGGAUUUUCUUUUUACUUUUUUUUCUUGAUCGAGCUUCGAGCCUUCCAGGCUCUAGCUUUUGUUGAAGUUCAUGAUCUCCCUAAACUGCCCUUCUCCCUGUUCUUCCCACUCCGUCCUCCAGCUGCGAACACUCCCCCUGUCCACUUCCCUUCCACUCCCCAUUUCUCUUCUGCUAGGGUUUCUCCCCUUCCAAAUCCUCGCUCCACGGCCAUGGCGAAGACGAAACAGGGCAAGAAGGACGUGGAUUUGUACACCAUCCGCGGCACCAACAAGGUCGUCAGAGGUAAUUUCCCCCACCCCCUGCUCCUGCGCUGCCGUGUGUGCGUGUGUAUCCUUGUUUUCCGGCGAGGAAUCUGAUGCCGCUGCAAUGUCCUUGCCGGGAAGUGGGCGACUGCGUCCUUAUGCGGCCGUCGGACUCGGACAAUCAGCCGUACGUGGCGCGGGUGGAGAAGAUGGAGGCCGACGGGCGCGGCAGCGUGCGGGUGCGGGUGCGCUGGUACUACCGCCCUGAGGAGUCCAAGGGCGGCCGCCGGCAGUUCCACGGCGCCAAGGAGCUAUUCCUCUCCGACCAUUUCGACCUGCAGAGCGCCCACACCAUCGAGGGCAAGUGUGUUGUCCACUCUUUCAAGAACUACACCAAGCUCGACAAUGUGGGCCCUGAGGACUUCUUCUGCCGAUUUGAGUACAAGGCGGCCACCGGCUCAUUCACCCCUGAUCGCGUCGCAGUGUACAGAGCUCAGUGAAGCCUUCUUUUAUUGUUCUUUUCCUGUUGGUGCAUUUUGAGCUUUCUUGCCAGCUAAUUUUGAUUUGUGAUUUUCUGUUUUAAGGUAUUGCAAGUGUGAGAUGCCGUACAACCCCGAUGAUCUCAUGGUACAAUGUGACGCAUGCAAGGACUGGUACACUUGUCUCAGGGAUUUGCAAUUUAACAUUUUACUGAUGAUUACCUGUGUUUUGUCCACUUAGUGCUUGUAGAGUGCAGAAAUUUCAAAUUGAUUUUGCAGGAAAGCACAUUAAUACUAGUGUGUGGCAUAACCACACUCUUACUGUUUUUGGAAUCGGAGAUCCAUGGCUUUGCUACUUAGUUGUAAAAUUAAAAUGGAUAAUGAUCACAGAUGUUUGUUAUUGUAUCAUUCUUAGAUCUUUACACAGCAAAUAUGACUUGAUUUCAAGAGCCAAGGACUAUAGGAAAUGUGUCUAUUGCUCUACAUUGUCUCAAAUUGGACACAUUGUAGGAAUUGAACUUUUGCUUUGUACAUGAAGGAUAACACCAUUGCAUAUAAAAUGAAUUGUCUUAUAUGUCAUCCUAUAUACAAAGUGAUGCAAGAGGAUUCAGGAUUUCAUGUAGGGGAUUUAGAUUUUUGUAGCUGUACUGCUGUAUCAAGAGAACUGCUAGAGCAUAUAGCUAAGAUUGUUUGGUCCUGACAGCUUCUUCAUUUGUGCAUGCCAUAAUCUGUUUCUAUGUUCACAAUAUCCAUGUCCAUUUUGUUUGGAAACUUUGUUUCACCAAGGACAAUGUGCAAUUUCUCAAGAGCCUCAAAGUUUAGGUACCAUCAACUUGCAUAAAACUAAUUGAGAUAUUAUGUGAAUCAUAUUUGCUUAGAAGUGAGAUGUUAUGUGAAUCAUAUUUGCUUAGAAGUGCAAAAUGGAGGUGCAUGCUUUUGACGUGGUAUGCAAUCAUGUAAUUUGCCAUGUCACCUGCACCUUUCAAAAUAAAAUUUGAAAUAGUAAUUAGAUUUCCUCCAUAUAUUGAUGCGCAGCUCUCCUGCGCGUUUGAGAAAAAAAAUUAGAUUUCCUCCCAUUGGAUGUUUUAUGGUGUCAGGACUCAGGGUCCAUGCAAAUAAAUAUAAAGAUACCAAUUUGGGAAUGUACAGAAAUUUUGUUUUCCCUGUUCCCUUUUAUGCUGUUAUUGAUCUUCCAUACACACAUAUUAUUGGGGUCCCGCCUUAUUCAAAUUCUAUACUAUACAGGUUCCAUCCAUCUUGCAUGGGCAUGACCAUUGAACAGGCGAAGAAGCUAGACCACUUUGUUUGUUCAGACUGUGUGAAGGAAAAUGGAUCAAAGAGACUUUCAAACGCAUAUGCUACGUCCCCAAAUUCGGAGCCUAAGGUAAGCUAACUCCUUGUCCUUUAUAUAUUGUAUGCCUGAUUAUUUGUUUUUCUUUUCUAGAUACUUAAUUGUUGGACUCUUUAAGUUAUAUGAUCCUUUUUCUUGGCAUAACAUUUAUGGAAUUGUUUUUUAGCUCAUGACAUUCUUUGCCAGCUAUUUAUUGAGUUAGCAAAUUCUCAGAAGACAGAAGGCAUUUUCUGAUCUCCCAUGGAAUCUGAGUUUGCACUAUGCUUAUUGAAACCACGGGUUUUAGUGCCUUUGAUUGGUAUCUCGAGGGGCUUUUCUGUUUUGUGCUAUUGUUCUAAAGCUCAUACUUCUUUGGUGGAGCUUUUGCUUUCUGCCUAAAUAUCAAUUUCAGUUAUAGUUACUAGAGUAAAAUGCAUGGCCGGUCCUUAAACUUGUUUGGUUGUGUCAUUUAGGUCCCUAUACUCCAAAAUUGCAGAUUUGACUCCCUAAACUUAGCCUCGGGUGUCAUUUAGGUCCCUUUACUCUCAAAAUGCAAAUCUAAAUCCCUAAACUUAGCUUCGGGUGUCAUCUAGGUCUGUAUACUACUAAAAUACAGUUACAUCCCCACUAAUAAAACAUAAUAGGAUCAAAUAUUGUGCUUUCAAGCACGCCAUUACUUUCACUGCCUUCUUUUCUAACCGGUUUUGUUGCCCCUUCAUUUGGUAAUUCAUGGUGUUCAUAAAGCCCCAGAUUCUAUUUCUAGAUUGGCAUGUGCAGCUACAAGUUAUUUGAGUUUGAAUAAUCUUCCAAGAAUAAAGUACAGUUUUCAUGCACACCUAACAAGCUAAGAUAUUGCCUCCAAAAUAAAACAUCAUCAAGUUAAGCUUCGUGGAUUCAUACUCAUCAAUAUUCUUUUAUACAUGUUAAGCUAAAAUUUACUUUAUUUGACUAUAAUGAAAUUAUAUCUAUAAAAAUAAGUUUGAUCCAUUUAAUUGGGAUUUCACUGCAUUUUGAUAGUACAGGGAUCUAGGUGACCCCCGAAGCUAAGUUUAGGGAUUUAGAUUUGUAUUUUGAGAGUAAAGGGAUCUAAAUGACACCGAGGCUAAGUUUAGGGAGUCAAAUCUGCAAUUUCGGAGUAUAGGGACCUAAAUGACACAACCAAACAAGUUUAAGGACCGACCAUGCACUUUACUCUAGUUACUAUCUUAUGCUUAUUUCAAAUCCUUCAUGGGAUGAGCUUUAUUCAAUUUGCAGAAGCUGUAUUGGGCUGCCUUUGCUUGUGCCUCACAAUUAUUGAUGUAUCUAAAAACUAUUCAACUUAACUCCAGAAUAUCUACCGAUUCUUCAUGCAUAUUUUGUUUACCUUAUCUCCAUGGAUAGCUGACAUGGGUGUGGUUGAUUCUCGGGAAAAUUGGAUGUGGUUGAUUCUCGGGAAAAUUGGAUAUGUACCACUAAAAGAUCCUAUCUUUUGCUAUGUACCAUCAAAGAAUCAUCUCUAGCUAUGUAGCAUUGAAAGAUCACGUUUCUUCGAAAUUUACCACUUCCGUUAGUUUUUCUAACAUCCGUGACGAUGAUGGCCGGUGCACGCGGAUGGUAGAGCAGGAACAGUGCGGCCUUGGCACACGGCGGCACCCUGGAGGAGGCAUAGGAGGGCCACAACGCAGGAUGCCGCGGAGAGGAGCGGUGGCCGGAGCGUGCGGCCGCGCAGCUCCAGCGCAGAUCUGGCCAUGGCGGCCGGGCUGGGCGCAUGAAUCCUGCGGGGGUUCUUGGUGGUGGUGGGGAAAUUGCUCCCUUCUCCUCCCUUCGAUUUGCUGCAUGCUGCAACAAAUCCACCGGAGCCACCAAGCUGCUGCUCAAUUCAAUCCCUCUCGAGCACGCAUAGAAAAGCAGCAGUAGCAUGCCAACUUCAUUUACGAAUUUUUUGCUACUGACAAUAUCUAAUUUGCAAUUCGAUUGCUUGUUGAUUGCCGGUCAUACGUUCGAUUCAUGCUUAAGGACGCGAGAAAUGCCACCUUGUUUGAUGCCGCGGGUAGAGGAGCGGCGGCCGGCGCGGGCAGGCCCCAGGAGGCCGGGGUGGCGGCCGGCAGUGAGCUCCGUCACGCCCCUGCUGGCCGGCGAGCUCCGCCAUGGCCAGUCAGGCGAGCUCCGCCGCACCCUGCAGGUGGGCGAGCUCCGCUGCGGCCAGGUGAGCUCCGCCGCGCUGCUCACCUCCGCCGUGCUCUGAACGUCGCUUGGCUUAGAAGGCAAUCAGAUGUUAGAAAAACUAACGGAAGUGGUAAAUGUCAAAGAAACAUGAUCUUUCGAUGCUACAUAGCUAUAGAUGAUUCUUUUGAUGGUACAUAGCAAAAGAUAGGAUCUUUUAGUGGUACACAUCCAAUUUUCCCUUGAUUCUCAGAUUGGCACAAGUCUUGAUCUCUACAUGUUUCGAGUGCUUCCUUUAAGAUGUAGUAUGCAUGUUUUGUGCAGUAUAAGGAAAAAGUGACUCUGGAUUAAUGCAGCAAUAUGAACCUAUCUUAUUACAGUACUAUCUUUUUGGUAACCACUAUGCAUACUGCUGUGAUCUUUAUCUCUGCAUCCUAAUAGCAAUUCAACCACACAAACAUUAAAUCCUCUACUAUGUUUUUCCUAAUGCAUGCUUGUUCUCUUUUGGCUCAUAAAUUGUAGGCUGAAUCAAAAAGGCAGAGGAGGUAACAGCUCGGAGCGCCAGCAUCCAUCGCCGAGGAGACGUGCUGCUUCUGCGGCGAACCAGCCCUUGUCAUUGCGAGAGCGGAGGUGUACAGUGCAGUAGAGCAAGUGUUUGCGGAACCUUAGGCUCCGUUGUCUCUUAGGCUGUCAGGCAUUAUGUCCUGUUAUCGGGGAACGGUUUUGUUCAUUUCAGUCGGUGUGGCAUGCCGUUGUAUGGUGCGGCAUGCUGUUGUUGUUCGGGGAACAGGGGGUGCUGUUGUUGUUAGGGGAACAGGGGGUACGGCCUCGGUGUUGGCUUGUCGGAUUAGCACUGUGCAUUGUGUUAACUGAACUGCUGUCGACAGUUACAUCUGUGGCUGAUGAUUCCAGUCAUGUGUAGUUGCCUCUGGGCUCUGUUGUUGCAGAGCCCCAACAAACACGAACAAUGUUGCCUGUUAACUGCUAUUGCUGCGGUUCUGUACCCCGCUUUCCUUUCUCCGUACUCGAGCCAAUCUGCCAUUUGUUACGGCAGAUGAUUACAGGCGGCGUCUGGAGAUCAACAGCUGCUAUAUUGUUGCUGAUUUGUUUGAUGAUCCUGCGGGUGAUCGUGACUGCAACCAGUUGUCUGUCUCCGCGGAUUGCAGUGGCCCUCGCCGCAGACCACUGGCGCCGAGGACGACCACGUCGCCGGAAUGGGGGAGGCAUCCGAGCCCAGCGGUUCCCAGCCGUUUGUUUUGCCUCUCCAAAUCGACGCGAGUGGCGGGCGCGCGAGCCAAGCACAUCCCUUCCCUCCCAGUUCCCGCACCCCUCCAGCUAGCUUAGCUACUCAUGCCGCCGGCUGCUCUUCGACUGGUCGCCGCCGCGGCCGGCGCCGCUCCGCCGCGCGCUCGCGGCGGCCGCACCGGGCCGCGGCGCGGCGGUGGGGUGCGCCUGCGCGCCAGAGCGGCGGCUGGGGAGGCCGCGCCGCCGCCUUCCAGGACCCAGGUGAGCCGCGGGGCCGAAAUGCGGUACGGUCGUCCAGAUUAAUGCGUUGAUGUCGGUUGAUACGAACAGAAAUGUCGCGCAAAUUGAUGGGAAUGUUGCCGGUAAAAAGUUAAAACAUCAAUGUACAACCAAUCACUCUGAUGGGAACAACUUUGAGGCUAAUGUAGCACAUUAAUCUAUUGAGCUUCCUCAUGUGAUUUAUGUUAUGAAGGAUUGACAAUGCUAAGCGGUGUAGGUGAUAAUGGAGAAGAUCUCUAGUGGUGAAGAAGUUGGGGGCGCUGGAGGGGCAUACUCAUACAGUGCACUGAAAAGAUUGGAUCAAAUAUGGUCUAGUAUAUGUGAACCACAAGUAGGUAUGCCUCGGAUAAUCUAAACAUUAUGCAGAGAAGUUCAUCUGGAUUUAUUGUUUUUGAUAUUAGCUCCAAAGUUUGGCAAUCAUGAUCGAUACUUGGAUUCAUAUCUUUUACACGUGAGUUUUGGUUGCUUCAUCUGUUAUUCACCGCAUACAGCUGCAGGAAACUCCAAUUUGGCUCAUCAUGUGGAAAGCUCUUCAAACCUAUGAAAAUCAGUUUGCUCAAUAGGAAGCUUUUACAGGAUUUGCCAAACACCACUUCUUCCUAGAAAUCUUUUGUCCAAACAAGCAUGGGAUUGAAAUGUGCCAUACAUAUUUCGUUUGUUCGAUGAACCGCUUGAGGAUAGUCAGACAAGCAUGAUUGGUAGUGCUGAUAGUCAGCAGUUAACUUCUGAAAGACUAACUGUAUGGCUUUCCAGUUUAACAAUGGACUUGCAACUGUAUUUAGUAAAAAGUUAAACAAUUGUAACUGAAAGUUUGAUAUCUCGUUAACUACAUACUGAUGGAAAUGCAUGCAUGCAGAUUCCAAUGUCCCUGAAGUUGUUACUCGGGUUCAAGGGCCGUUGGCUGAUUCUAAUCUUGGUGCUGGUUCAGAGAUAUUUGAUGUAAUAGUGUGCGGUGGCACAUUAGGUAUAUUUGUAGCUACUGCCCUCAGUUCUAAAGGCCUUCGGGUUGGAAUUAUCGAAAGAAACAUAAUCAAAGGGGUAAUUCAACCCUAUAUGGCUAUUCCUGAGUUGUCCCAAGAAUAUUUUACUGAAUCAUAAAACGUAUCCCUAUAUCUGAAAAACAGAGGGAACAAGAGUGGAAUAUUUCAAGAAAGGAGCUUAUGGAAAUUGUGGAGAUUGGCAUCCUUUCGGAAGCAGAGCUUGAGCAAAUUAUUUCAAGUGAUUUCAAUCCUGUAAGACCUUUCAGAUCACAAAUUGACAUCAAAUACUAUUUUUGUUUAAUCAUGCCUUGUUGUCUAUCAAUUUACCUUUUCCUUUUAUUUUUUUGCUGUGCAGAAUAGAUGCGGAUUUGAGGAUAAAGGUGAAAUUUGGGUGGAGAACAUUCUUAAUCUUGGUAUUUCGUAAGUUUAUCUGCUGGUGCCACAUAUAAAUCAGCUUUCAUUAGUUUGUAUUGUGCCAGUUUCAAGAUCUUGGGAAAAUGCAUGAUGCCCACGUGAUUUUGAUGUUUACGAAAUAUGCAAGACGAGAGUAUAAAUAUAUGAUCGAACAAAUAUGUUCUUUGUUUGUACUUAUGGCAUAGUCUGAAAAGGAUAAAUAUGUAGUAUCUGAAGUGGCAAUGAGUAACAAAAGACUAACAUGUAUCUUGUUAUUGUUACAUAGGUCUUCAACAUCUGCUUGCAAGUUCAAUUCCUUCUUCCUUCUGUUUGGUUUAUAUUUUAAGUCAAUUAAUAUCUAAAACAUAUGUAUGCGGCAAUUAGGAAUACCAUAUAAAACUAUUUCUUGAUUAAAAGUCAUCUUCAGGAUAAUGAAUUAUUAGCAAAACAGAAAAACAGAACUUCGGUAUAUGGUAUAGUAACAAGACUAGUAGUGAUACCCACAUAUAGUCUAGUGCCCUAUGUAAUUUCUUGCGGCAAGAGAAAGCUCUUAACAUAAAUAAAAGAAAUAAUUUUAGCUGAUCUAUCAGUUUAUUUUACAUUUUCAGGCCCGCUAAACUUGUUGAAACCAUGAAAGAACGCUUCAUUUCUUCAGGAGGAGCAAUAUUUGAGGGGAAGAGUCUAUCAAGCAUUUAUGUCUAUGAUGAUCGUGCAGUAAGCAAAUUUUAUUCUGUCUACUUAGCCAUAAUAAAACUGCUCCAAUGGAGAUUCUAAAUUUUAUAAGUACUUUUGGCAUAGGAUUUUUUUUUUUGGUAAUAGAUUGACCUGCAUUAUCCUUAUCUGAUUCUGGAUGUAUAAUUGUCUUGUCUUGACUAAUAUAAGCAAAAGACACUCGACCACGGGAUGGCUUCACUAAUAUAAUAAACACAUAUUUUGAUCAAGAAAUCAUUCCAUUUAUUAUGUAUACUUUUAAAUGUUUUUUUUUUCAAAAUCACUUACUUUAGAGUUUAGACCAGUAGAUCUAUCGUUGUGCUAGUUUGGCAUUAGAUAGUUGGUAUUUCCAAGCAAGGAGGUAUUAACAUUCCACUGUUUUCCAACAGGUUAUAAAACUGAGUAAUGGUGAUUCCUUGCCUUGCCGACUUGUUGUUGAUGCUAUGGGUAAUUUUUCUCCAAUCGUGCGGCAGGUAUUUCCACACAUCUAUGUAUCCAAAGUCACAUCAUAACUUAACACAGGCCUGAUAAUGUAGGGUGCUGGCUCGGCCCCGGGCGACACCGGGCGCCGCCGCCUCCCUCUCCCCAGCGCUCCCUCGCUCCUCCCCUCCGACUCGCCGCCGCCGGAGCUCGCCGGUGGAAGUCCACUCGGCCGCGAUGAGGGCGGCGGCGGGCGCCCCUUUCCCUUCCUUUGAGGAUCUCCCCUUUCUCCUUUCCCUCCUUUUCUUCCCGCCGGGCUUGCUGCACUAGUCUCCUGUCGCUGGCCGCCGGCGUCCUUUUCGCCGGUUGUGCGCGGAUCCGGCACUGGUGGGUGCGGAUCCGGGGCCGUCUGGCCCGUGGGGGCAAGCCCCUUGCGGUUCCGCUUGGGGCAUGCCGGCUGAAGCAUGAAGCAGCCCGACCUCCAUCGUCGGCCGUUCAAGAUGGUCAGGUGCUUGUUCCGCUGCUGGAUUUCGACGCGCGGCCGUGGCCCUGCGCCAUUCCCGGCGGCGAGCUGUUGGUGCCCUUCGUCGCCGCUUCCUUCGCCUUCCGCGUGCUGCGCGCGAUGUCCCCCAUUGCGGAGCCUGCGGGCGCCAGGGGAUGGCGGCCGCGGCGGCUGGUGUCUUGCGUCGCUGCCGGCCUACGCCACUCCGGUCGGUCCGGCGGCCGCCGCCGUUUUCCGGCCUCCCAGGGCCCUGAUCUGCCAUUUGGGGAGGGUGCGCAUCCGUGGCCCCGCGCCAUUCCCGGCGGCGUGCCGUUGCUGCCCUUGGUCGCCGCUUCCUGCGGCCUCUGGGUGCUCCGCGCGACGCCCCCGCUGCGGGGCCUGCGCAAGCGCUGGGGGAUGGCGGCCGCGGCAGCAUGUGGCUUGCGUCGCCACCGGCCUGCCAUUUCUGUCGGUGGCAUUCUUGGCUGCUCCGUGCUCUGCAAUGUUUUCGCUGGAGUGGUUCGUGAUGGUACUGGGCCUUGCCUUGCCUCGCCGGAGCUCUUGCAGUGGACGACAUGGUGGCAGCUUGGUGUGUCCCCAGUGGCAGCGGGGAACACUUCUUUGUCUCUGUUCUUCCCGAUUUGUAUAUGGUGUGUUGGGCCUUGACCGAGCAGGCGAAAGCGUCGCGCCCGGUGCGCGGGGAGGAAUUCCACCUCUGCUCGGUCCGCCUGUGCCUGGUGCUCGUGCCUUCAUUGGCCGAUGUGCAGCGAAAGCAUCGCGCUCGGUGCGCGGGGGGUGCGCGGGGAGGUGUUUCACCUUCGCACAUGUCACUGCUCCAGCCGAGUUCUUGGAGUCUCCUGCUGCUUCUCUGUUCGUACUCUUUUUGGACCUGCUUGAUGUUGGUCGGUGGCCAUUGCCGUGGUUCGGCGAGUGUUCUUCUUCGGCACCUCUACUACGUCGAUCAUCUUCUUGUUUGUGGCAUCAUCGAAUCAAAUGCCGGGUGUUGUAUCUAUCCACCUCUUCGGUUGUCCCCCUCUAAGGUUUCCUCCCCUUCUUGGCGUUGGAUAGCAGUAUGUGGAGCCUGGAUGUACUGCAAGUGGUGCUGCCCUCAACAUCAAGGUUGAUGGUUGUGUCCGAUGAGCUUCAUUGGUGCGCCUUCCAUUGCCCUUAGUCCCCACUCCAUUGGGCGUUCCCUCAGAUGGAGGGCAACAGUGGUGCGGCGUAGCUACGAGGGGUGGUGCGAAUGUGUAAUGGCAGGGUUACAUCCGGCGAGCAUGUUGCUCGGUGGCGACUCUAUUCGGUUCGGUGGUCGGCCCUUGGCCCGUAUCAUGUCUUGUCUUUCAAAUUGUAUGAGUUGUGUUUCUUUGUUGUUCUUCUUUGUGUUGAGUUGUACCUCUCUGCUUUGUAAUCUGUGGUUCGCCACACUUUUAAUGACAAGUUCAGGCUGGCAUCUUGCCCGCCGUAGUUCACGUCAAAAAAAAUAAAAUAAUAUAGGGUGCUAAUAGUUGAUAACUUAUUACUACUAAUGAGGCUUCCAACUUGUUUGAUUUAGG